rnacentral:lncRNA from 1 species
UGAGUCUGAGUGGUUGGUUCAUGGCAUAUGCGCAUGUGGUCGGCCAUGUCUGUUUGAGAUGUAGUACAAAUGUGUCUGCAGUUGUGCGCAAGACAAGAUCGAGGUUUAUGUCGUCAACUCGUAGUUUGCUUAGAAGGUUUGAGUGUUCAUAUCGCGUCAUGAGAAUGCGAAUCCACGAAUAGUGUAUGACGUAUGAUCUUGAAACCCAAGAGAGUGAUAGUAUGAGAUGCCCUCAAGGGGAUGAUGAGAAGCUAGCCUUCCUCGCCGAGCUCCUUGACCUUUGUGACAUGAUGGCUGGACCCUGGCUUCUUGGUGGCGAUUUUAACAUGAUCAUAAGAACAACAGUAACCUCAAUCACCGCACAAUGAGCCGAUUUCGUCUCUUCAUCACCGACCUGGUGUUGUUGGGACAUUUAUCUCCAUGGGCGACCCCCACCCUGGUCCGGAACGACCGUGUUCUUUGCACCACCACCUAUGGGACGACCCACCCCCAAUGCAUGCUAUGAUAUCUUGCCUCCACCGCUUCCGAUCACUGUCCGCUAGUUGUAUACUGCUCCUCCCAAGCGCAUUGUAGGCGAAGAUUCCACUUCGAGCGUUUCUGGCUUUCAGCAGGUGGUUCUGUCCACCUGGAACUCUAUCCCUGUGGAUUAAGAUCCAUUUUGGCGCAUCUAUUCUCGUCUCAAAGCUACUGCAUGGUGACUCAGGAGUUGGAGUGCUCGUACCCUUGGUAACAUAUUCACACAGAUAUUUCUAGCGUGUGAGCUUAUCUAUCGGCUGGACAUGGCAUAGGAUGCGUCCGCUCUCCCCACCCGAGGCCUGGCUCCGCCGCAAACAAAAGCGCGCAUACCUGGGGUUGGCCUCUCUUGAUCACUCGAUCGCAAGGCAGUGGGCGCGGUUUGGCCGACUGCAAGAGGGAGACAUGAACACUGUGUUUUUGAAGAUUCAUGCUACACACCGAAGACAAAAGAAUCACAGCUUCAACCUCUAGGUGGGUAAUCGGACUAUCUCCAUCCAUGAGGAUAUGACUGCUGUUGUGUUUGAGCAUUUCUUCUGUAUUCUUGGUACCCCGGAGGCCCGCCAGCUCACCAUCAAUCUCUAGACCAUUGAUGAGCGAGACUUUAGCCUUUCUGACCUCGAUCGGCCGUUCACGGAGGAUGAGAUUUGGGUGCCUAUCAAGCAAAUACCCACGGGUUGUGCCACCAUCCCCUGGAUCCACCUACGUCGAACCUCCCCAAUCUCUGCUUGCACCCCCCUGAUCUCUGCCAACACCGUCGGCUAGAGGUAUCCCUGCACUGCGCCGAAGGGCCAGUUGCGUCGCUCGACUCAACCUGCACUAGCCCAUGCCCGACCUACACCAGGAUGAGGUAAAAAAGACUCCCAAAAAAAUCAUUCUUUGGAUACUGGUUGACAAGUAUGAUGUCUUCUAUUUUCUAUACUUGAAUUGUUCAUUGGCAAGUGUUGGUUGUGUUCCUGAAUGUGGAUGGCAGCAGACUAAGGCGUAGCAUAGUGGUGGAAAGGGCUGAUGCCUUCCCAUCCACCCAGGUUCGAUGCAUGGUACUUGCAUUUUGGGUUUGCUGCACAUAUUAUUAUAUGGUACUUGCAUUUUAUAUUAGGUUUCUUACAGUCUUCCUUUCAAAAAAAAUGUGGAUGUCAUCCCUUACAGUCUUUCUGUUAAAAAAUAUGGAUCGCAGUAGCAUGAGAAGAGUUGUUAGAUUUGUUAAGUCGCAUGUAAAUGGCAUAUAUGUUAGAUUUGUUGUCCAUUGGCAAAAUCAGUAGCAUAUAAUUUCACUUAUGACUGUCAUAUGCAUACAUGUUGAAAGAAAAUUGGAAUCUAGAAGUGGCCACAAUAUUUUGUAAACGUGCUUCCAUUGAGAAGCAAAAGGAGAAUAUGCAUUUUUUUAAUGUUGUUUGGUACAAAAACGUAGUCACGUAGAGCAGAUAAUGGAAGAAGUUGUGUCAUGUGGAGAAGAUGAAGGAAGUGACGAGUACUCCAUAGCAACUAAGUUAUCUAGGGUUUAGGGUUGAAAAUCGUUGUUUCCUUAAUAAUAUGAAGACUAGCAAAGGGAAGAAGAAUUGUCUUAGGAGGAUGUAUGAUCAGCCAAAUAGGCGUUAGAAUGAAAUUUUAGGCGUGCGAUCAUGGAUGUGUUAUUUCCCAUCUUUUAUGUAAUGUUACUUGAGACUUAUCGGAAAAUAUCUCCUUUCCUUUAUGUUAUUUCACUUGAGACAUGUUUAACAACAUUUUCCUUGAUCAUGACAUGAAUAUGUUAUUUUGUCAUCUCUUGUGUUGAUCAUGACAUGAAUAUGUUAUCUUGUUAACUCUUGUGUCGUGCCAUGGUUUUCUUCUUAUUUUAGAGUUCAUCAUGUUGCUUGUUUCCAAUAUUUUUUCCUUCUCAUUAUGAGCACAAGUGGAAACCAUGGUGAAGAGUCUAAAACUACUUAUCCAGAUGUUGUCGCAUUUCAUAGGGCAAAGGCAGAAAAGACACAUGAUGGUUCCUCUUGUUGGUAUCAUGUACAAUAAGAAGUAUGUCAUAAAAAUGAGUACAUAUAAUUACCGGACAAUAGUGGGUUAAAGAUAAAUUGAGUACUCCAAAAUAUAUCUGUAACAUGUUCAAGAUGUACAAGCCUUGUGUUGAUAGAUUGCAUUAUGCGCUUGUUAACACAUAUGGCUUGAAAGCAACAGCGAAGAUGAGUUCAGAAUAAGCAUUAGGCAUGUUUUGGACAGUUAGGGGCCCUCAAUCCAUAAGCCAAGUGGAAAACCGUUUCAAGAUAUCAACUAAAGUUAUACAUACAAAAUUCAAUGAAGUAUUAAACUUCUUGAAUGCUAUGGCUAUAGACAUCAUUCAACCAAAUUAUCCAGAGUUCAAAGUUGUUCAUGAAAGGCUUCAAGAUGCGAGAUUUGCACCUCACUUUGAUGGUUGCAUAGUGCAAUUGAUGGGUCACAUAUUUCAUGCAAUUGCCCCAAGUUAUGAGAAUGAGAUUGUCAACCACGUUGAUGGUCAUGGAUACCCAACACAGAAAUAUCAUGGCAGUGUGCGACUUUGACAUGAGAUUCACCUCUAUAGUUGCAGGAUGGACAGAGUAAGCACACAACAUGAGGAUAUUUAAAGAUACUUCUAUGAAGUAUGCUGAUAGAUUUACACAUCCACUUAUAGGUAUUCAUUUCAUUUUUCGUGUGCAAAUUAAUAUUGUUUUAGUUAUCUUGUUGAUUCCACGUGUAAUUCUAUUACUUUAUGUAGGGAGGUACUAUCUUGUUGACUCAGGUUAUCCCAAUUGUGGUGGAUAUCUAGCUCUACACAAAGAAGAAGUACCAUGUGUCAGAAUUUCGCCAAGGUCUCCCACCGAAUGGGAAAAAGUUUUUUUAACUAUGUGAAUUUAACCCUGCGUAAUGCCAUUGAGCGUGGACUUGGUGUGUUGAAGAUGACAUGACAUAUUUUACUCAAAAUGUCAAGUUACCAUUGUGAGAAGCAAGAUCAGAUCACCACUGCCUGUAUGACACUUCAUAAUUGCAUUGAAGAAUACCAUUUGAGAGACUUGGGGUUUGAUAGAUGUGACCGUGAUGAUAACUACAUGCCAAGGAAUUUACAACCCCGACGGAUAGGCGAUGUUUCCAACAUUGUGGUUGGUGAUGAUGGAACUGUGCAAGCAACUUGUGAGGCAAUUGCUAAUGUCUUGUUGGCGGAUCAAGCACAUGUUUAAAUAUUACUUGAUGAGUCUAUGAUGGUUAAUGCAUAUUUUGGAUGAUACGUACGUUUCAUAUGUAAGAAUGAUGGUACGUUUCAUAUGUAAGAAUGAUGGUUGAUGCAUAUUUUGGAUGAUAUGUUUCGUAUGUAACACUACCAUGGUUGAUACGUAUUUUGGAUGAUAUGUUUUGCAUGUAAGAAUGAAUGUUAGUGCAUAUUUUGGAUGUUAUGUUUUAUAUGCAUACUUUGAAUGAAAUGUUUCCAUGAUCAUGACAUUUGUAGACACAAAAUAUGUCGCAUAUGGUUAAAACAACUAUUUUCCAUUUUAACCACUCGAAAAAACUUAAUUUGUGCGUAAUUAGCAUAUAAACAUCAUAUCCAACAUUCAUGGACAUUACUGACAUUUAAACCCCCCCAACAAUUCCUACACCUGUCCAACAAUGUGGUAAGCAAACAACCUGCUUCUGAUUCUUGAGAAUUCAUAGCUAGAACUAGUUCUCAGGAAUCCAUAGUCGUAAUGAUUCAUGUGAAUCUGCAGCCCAAAGAAAGGGGGGCGACUCAAGUUAGAUUUUGGGUGAUAGGUGUUUCAUGUCAACCACGGUCCUACAGUCCAAAUAAAGAAUUACAUGAAACAAACUAUAGCCACUAAAAUAUUUAUUUAAAUUGUUCUAAUACCUAUAUCAAAGGGAGCACAACUUUACGGGCUAAUGACACUGAACAUACUUUGUCUCUCUUCAACGGCGAGGCUAGGAUGGGGCCAGGCCCAAGGCCAAGCCUGGGCUAAACAUGGAAAAUAAUGCCAAAUAGUGCUACGGUUGUGAAAGGAUUUUGGUGUCAAGACCCAGGACGCAGCCUGACUUGUCCGGGUCCUAUCUCUCUUUUAGUUCGAGAGUUAUGGCCUUGUAUGACCAUGCAGAGCUAUUUAUAUUUCCUUAUAUCAUGAUAAAUAUUUAUUAUUCAUGCUAGAAUUGUAUUAACUGGAAACUUAGUACAUGUGUGAAUACAUAGACUGAAGGAAAUAUGCCCUAGAGGCAAUAAUAAAGUUGUUAUUUAUAUUUCCUUGUAUCAUGAUAAAUGUUUAUUAUUCAUGCUAGAAUUGUAUUAAUCGGAAACUUAGUACAUGUGUGAAUCCAUAGACAAACAGAGUGUCACUAGUAUGCCUCUACUUGACUAGCUCGUUAAUCAAAUAUGAUUUAAGUUUCCUGGCCAUAGACAUGAGUUGUCAUUUGAUUAACGGGAUCACAUCAUUAGAGAAUGAUGUGACUGACAAGACCCAUCCGUUAGCUUAACACGAUGAUCGUUUAGUUUGUUGCUAUUGCUUUCUUCAUGACUUAUACAUGUUCCUAUGACUAUGAGAUUAUGCAACUCCGGAAUACCGGAGGAACACUUAGUGUGCUAUCAAACUUCACAACGUAACUGGGUGAUAUAAAGAUGCUCUACAGGUGCCUCCGAUGGUGUUUGUUGAGUUGGCAUAGAUCGAGAUUAGGAUUUGUCACUCCGAUUGUCCGAGAGGUAUCUCUGGGUCCUCUCGGUAAUGCACAUCACUAUAAGCCUUGCAAGCAAUGUGACUAAUGAGUUAGUUACGGGAUGAUGCAUUACGGAACGAGUAAAGAGACUUGCCAGUAAUGAGAUUGAACUAGGUAUUGAGAUACCGACGAUCGAAUAUCGGGCAAGUAACAUACCGAUGACAAAGGGAACAAUGUAUGUUGUUGUGCGAUUUGACCGAUAAAGAUCUUCGUAGAAUAUGUAGGAACCAAUAUGAGCAUCCAGGUUCCGCUAUUGGUUAUUGACCGGAGAUGAGUCUCGGUCAUGUCUACAUAAGUUCUCGAACCCGUAGGGUCCGCAUGCUUAAUGUUCGAUGACGAUCGGUAUUAUGAGUUUAUGUGUUUUGAUGUACCGAAGGUAGUUCGGAGUCCCGGAUGUGAUCACGGACAUGACGAGGAGUCUCAAAAUGGUCGAGACAUAAAGAUUGAUAUAUUGGACGAUGUUAUUCUUACACCAGAUGAGUUCCGGGGGUCACCGGAUAAAUAUCGGAGUGCCGGGGGGUUAUCGGAAACCCCGGGGGAACUAAUGGGCCAACAAGGGCCUUGUGAGAGAGAGAGGAGGGGCCCCUAGGGCUGGCCGCCCCCCCCUUGAGGAGUCCGAAUUGGACUAGGAGGGGGCGGCGCCCCCCUUCUUUCCCUCUCCUUCCUUCCCCCUCUCUUCCCUUGUUGGAAACCUACUAGGAAUAGGAUUCCUAGUAGGAACCCUACUUGGGGCGCGCCCUAUGAGGGCCGGCCGGCCUCCCCCUUGCUCCUUUAUAUACGGGAGCAGGGGGCACCCUAGGACACACAAGUUGAUAGUUGUCUUAGCCGUGUGCGGUGCCCCCUCCACAGAUUUCCAACUCGGUCAUAUCGUUGUAGUGCUUAGGCGAAGCCCUGCGUCGGUAACUUCAUCAUCACCGUGAUCACGCCGUCAUCUUGACGAAACUCUCCCUUGGCCUAUGCUGGAUCAAGAGUACGAGGGACGUCACCGAUCUGAACGUGUGCAGAUCGCGGAGGUGCCGUGCGUUUGAUACUUGAUCGGUUGGAUCGCGAAGACGUUUGAUAACCCACAAGUAUAGGGGAUCAAUUGUAGCCUCUUUGGAUAAGUAAGAGUGUCGAACGCAACGAGGAGCUAAAGGUAGAACAAAUAUUCCCUCAAGUUCUAUCGACCACCGAUACAACUCUACGCACGCUUAACGUUCGCUUUACCUAGAACAAGCAUGAAACUAGAAGUACUUUGUAGGUGUUGUUGGAUAGGUUUGCAAGAAUAUAAAGAGCACAUAAAUAAAAAGUAGGGGCUGUUUAGAUAAAGACACAAUAAAGUUAAUAUAGCGAGUGUGGAAAAGUGGUGGUAGGAGUUGCGAAAUUGUCCCUAAGCAAUUGACUACUUUACUAGACCGAUAGCAAGUUUUAUGUGGGAGAGGCCAUUGCUAGCAUGUCAUCCCUGACUUGGAAUUCUAUGCACUUAUGAUUGGAACUAUUAGCAAGCAUCCGCAACUACUAACGUUCAUUAAGGUAAAACCCAACCAUAGCAUUAAGAUAUAUUGGUCCCCCUUCAAUCCCGUAUGCGUCAAUUUCUAUGCUAGGUUGAAGCUUCUGUCACUCUUGCCCUCCAAUACAUAGUCUUAUCAACAUACACUAACCCUAUGGUGUGAUCCACGCGCGCGCUCAUAUGAUGGGCACCAAAGGACAGCAACAUAACCACAAGAAAAUUAAACCAAUCAUAGCAAUUCACCAAUUACCGAUAGGACAACGAAAAUCUACUCAGACAUCAUAGGAUGGCAACACAUCAUUGGAUAAUAAUAUGAAGCAUAAAGCACCAUGUUCAAGUAGAGGGUACAACGGGUUGCGGGAGAAUGGACCGCUGUAGAUAGAUGGGGGAAGGUGAUGAAGAUGUUGGUGAAGAUGACGGAGGUGUUGGUGUAGAUCGCAGUGACGAUGAUGGCCCCGGCGCCGGCGCCACCGGGAGAGAGGGGGAGAGGGCCCCCCUUCUUCUUCUUCUUCUUCUUCCUUGACCUUCUCCCUAGAUGGGAGAAGGGUUUCCCCUCUGGUCCAUGGCCUCCAUAGCGGCGGAGGGGCGAGAUCCCCUCCGAGAUUGGAUUUGUCUCUCUGUCUCUCUCUGUUUCUGCAUUCCCUGAUUCUGGCCUUUCCCCGUUUCUUAUAUUCCCGGAGAUCUCCGAUUGGAUUGAAAUUUGGACACGAUUUUUAUCCGGAUAUUGGCUUUCUUGCGGCAAAAGAAGGGCACCAAUCGCCUUACGGGGUGCACACGAGGGUCAGGGGCGCGCCCCCUGCCUCGUGGCCCCCUCGGGCAUCGUCUCGCGUUGAUUCUUCUCCCCAAAAAUCACAUAUAUUCCAAAAAAAUAUCCGUCAGUUUUUAUCCCGUUUGGACUCCGUUUGAUAUGGAUUUUCUGCGAAACAAAAAACAUGCAACAAACAGGAACUGGCACUGGGCACUGGAUCAAUAUGUUAGUCCCAAAAAUAGUAUAAAAAGUUGCCAAAAGCAUGUAAAAGUUAUAGAAUAUUGGCAUGGAACAAUAAAAAAUUAUAGAUACGACGGAGACGUAUUAGCAUCCCCAAGCUUAAUUCCUGCUCGUCCUCGAGUAGGUAAGUGAUAAAAAAGAUAAUUUUUGAUGUGGAAUGCUACCUAGCAUAAUCUUGAUCAUGUAAUCUAAUCAUGGCAUGAAUAUUAAGACACGAGUGAUUCAAAGCAAUAGUCUAUAAUUUGACAUAAAAACAUCAAUACUCAGGCGUCCCAACAAACCAUCAUGUCUUUCAAAAUAUCAAUGCUAAAGAACGCUAUCCCUACAAAAUCAUAUAAUCUUGUCAUGCUCUGUCUUCUUAACACAAAGUAUUUAUCAUGCACAACCCCGAUGACAAGCCGAGCAAUUGGUUCAUACUUUUUAACGCGCUUCAGCUUUUUCAACCCUCACGCAAUACAUGAGCGCAAGCCAUGGAUAUAGCACUACAGGUGGAAUAGAAUAUGAUGAUGGAGGUUGUGUGGAGAAGACAAAAAGGGAGAAAGUCUCACAUCGACGCGGCUAAUCAACGGGCUAUGGAGAUGCCCAUCAAUUGAUGUCAAUGCGAGGAGUAGGGAUUGCCAUGCAACGGAUGCACUAGAGCUAUAAGUGUAUGAAAGCUCAAACUGAAACUAAGCGGGUGUGCAUCCAACUUGCUUGCUCAUGAAGACCUCGGGCAUUUGAGGAAGCCCAUCAUCGGAAUAUACAAGCCAAGUUCUAUAAUGAAAAUUCCCACUAGUAUAUGAAAGUGAUAACUCAAGAGACUCUAUAUGAAGAACAUGGUGCUACUCUGUGGCACCCCGGCUCAGAGAAACCGGAACGCCCCGUAUUCCAGCCCGGAGAUCGAGGAGAAGUCUUCUGGAAUACGGCACUGCUUAGCAUAGAACAAACCAGCUCUUUAUUGCAAUCUAUAUGGGUACAAGGGAUUACAUUGGCACGGCGAUGCUACGCCUGCCACAGUUGCUCCAUGCAAGCAGCAGAACAACACGAUGCAGCAGUAUGACUACUGGUAGCGGAAAAGCGACGACGGUGGUGAACUCCACUCCGCAGGGACUCUGGCUGGAACACUUAUCCUAGCGCGCAAACAAGGGAUCCAUGGCAAACAAACAAUCAAAUCCGGCACGACCUGCAAACUGGCAUGACACGCCAGGUCAGUACAUUGAAUGUACUUGCAAGCUCACAUCAACCAAAUCAAUCAAGACAAAUAAUAGCAUGGCAAUUACAGGUUAACAAGGAUUAACAUGAUACUAUCAGAUCAAUCAUAGCAUGAACAAGAUGAUACAGCUAGAACAAUACGAGCAUGGCAUAAACAUAUGAACAUGAUGAUACUAGCAUGCAACAUAAUGAAACUAUCAUGCACCAACUUACUCUGUUCGGGUUACCUCGUAACCAUCACCUGUAUCACUUACCAUCACGGAUAUCACACAAUCAUCUUAGGAUCCAAUCAAGCUUGGUAUUAACAAUACCGUAGUAAUCAUUUAUGACCACAAGGAGCUUGUGAAGGAAAUAUGCCCUAGAGGCAAUAAUAAAGUAUUAUAUAUUUCCUUAUAUUAUGAUAAAUGUUUAUUAUUCAUGCUAGAAUUGUAUUAACCGGAAACAUAAUACAUGUGUGAAUACAUAGACAAACAGAGUGUCACUAGUAUGCCUCUACUUGACUAGCUCGUUAAUCAAAGAUGGUUAUGUUUCCUAGCCAUAGACAUGAGUUGUCAUUUGAUUAACGAGAUCACCUCAUUAGGAGAAUGACGUGAUUGACUUGACCCAUUCCGUUAGCUUAGCACUCGAUCGUUUAGUAUGUUGCUAUUGCUUUCUUCAUGACUUAUACAUGUUCCUAUGACUAUGAGAUUAUGCAACUCCCGUUUACCGGAGGAACACUUUGUGUGCUACCAAACGUCACAACGUAAAUGGGUGAUUAUAAAGGUGCUCUACAGGUGUCUCCAAAGGUACUUGUUGGGUUGGCGUAUUUCGAGAUUAGGAUUUGUCACUCCAAUUGUCGGAGAGGUAUCUCUGGGCCCACUCGGUAAUGCACAUCACUAUAAGCCUUGCAAGCAUUGUGACUAAUGAGUUAGUUGCGGGAUCAUGUGUUACGGAACGAGUAAAGAGACUUGCCGGUAACGAGAUUGAACUAGGUAUCGAGAUACCGACGAUCAAAUCUCGGGCAAGUAACAUACCGGUGACAAAGGGAACAACGUAUGUUGUUAUGCGGUCUGACCGAUAAAGAUCUUCGUAGAAUAUGUGGGAGCCAAUAUGGGCAUCCAGGUCCCGCUAUUGGUUAUUGACCGGAGACGUGUCUCGGUCAUGUCUACAUAGUUCUCGAACCCGUAGGGUCCGCACGCUUAACGUUACGAUGACAGUUUUAUUAUGAGUUUAUGUAUGUUGAUGUACCGAAGGAGUUCGGAGUCCCGGAUGAGAUCAGGGACAUGACGAGGAGUCUCUAAAUGGCCGAGACGUAAAGAUCGAUAUAUUGGACGACUAUAUUCGGACUUCGGAAAGGUUCCGAGUGAUUCGGGUAUUUUUCGGAGUACCGGAGAGUUACGGGAAUACGUAUUGAGCCUUAUUGGGCCAUACGGGAAAGAAGGAAAAGGGCCUCAAGGGUGGCCGCACCCCUCCCCUUGGUCUGGUCCGAAUUGGACUAGGGAAGGGGGGCGCCCCCUUCCUUCCUUCUCUUUUUCCCUUCCUCUUUUCCUAUUCCAUAUGGGAGGUGGAAUCCUACUAGGACUAGGGAGUCCUAGUAGGACUCCACACUUGGUGCGCCCCCUCCUAGGGCCGGCCUCCUCCUCCCUUGCUCCUUUAUAUACGGGGGCAGGGGGCACCCCAUGGACACAACAAUUGAUCCUUGAGAUCUCUUAGCCGUGUGCGGUGCCCCCCUCCACCAUAUUACACCCCGAUAAUACCAUUGCGGAGCUUAGGCGAAGCCCUGCGUCGGUGGAACAUCAUCAUCGUCACCACACCGUCGUGCUGACGAAACUCUCCCUCAACACUCGGCUGGAUCGGAGUUCGAGGGACAUCAUCGAGUUGAACGUGUGUAGAACUCGGAGGUGCCGUGCGUUCGGUACUUGAUCGGUCGGAUCGUGAAGACGUACGACUACAUCAACCGCGUUGUGAUAACGCUUCCGCUAUCGGUCUACGAGGGUACGUGGACAACACUCUCCCCUCUCGUUGCUAUGCAUCACCAUGAUCUUGCGUGUGCGUAGGAAUUUUUUUGAAAUUACUACAUUCCCCAACAGCUUGACCUUUACCCUUGACUCUUGCAUAACAUCCCCACAUAUCCAACAAGUUGGUAUUCACGAUACCUCAGUGAUCCUCUCACGAUCACAUAAAUAUCAACCAACUUCUUUCAUCAUCGAACCGGGGUUGUUAUUAAUCAAAUUAUUAUUAUUACUGUUGACCCAUAGUGUGACCGACACGAACUGGGCCCUUAUCCGCGGGCACGGCUAUCGAUAGAUUAAACACACACUCUGCAGAGGUUAGCACACGGUACCCACACCACGGAACCCAUGGUCUCGCACUCCCAUACGUGCGGACACGGCGUUCCGACAAAACCGAUCUACUGCCAUGACACUCCCCGGCCACUCCGACCAACUCCCCUUUGGGCUAAGUCCUGGGUGGCCCCGUGCCUACCAAAGGCACCAACGGCCACCGUCGUGGCAAAACGGUCCCAAACGCGGACAUGAGCUCAAAACCAAACAUGGGCACACCAGGCUUAUGCCGUCCUACCUGGCCAAGGUAGCGCCCGUGCAUAACCUUCCCUCGCAGGAGGCACCGGCGAGAGGCAUGACAAUAGACCCAGUUAGGGCCUUCCCAUAAGGCAAACGUGGUUGCACUGGUCAGCUCGAUAUGGUGGCACCAUGACUUAGCCAACAGUUGUUCAAGUUCAAUUUAAUCCGGUUAAACUUGAAUGCAAUAUGCCGAGCCAUGACAAAAUAACAUGAUACAGCUACAAUGCAUGAACAUGAUAUCAAACAUAAGCAUGGGGGUGCAUCAUAAUCCACGAGCAUAGCAACAACAUUUAACCAUUCAACCAGAUGAGCAUAGCAUAAUGACGAGCAUGAAUAUCACAACUAGAAAACUACUGAUGGCAUAACAUGAACACUAGCAUCGACAAUAAAUACCAUGCAAGAACAUAACCAUACAACUACCAUGCAAGCAUUUAACCAACUGGGUGCAAAAGAACAUGCACAACAACGGUACUCGGAACAGAUGAUAGUCAUGCACCGAAGACCAUCUCCAACAUGUACUACUACCAAUCAUUGCCAAUAUUAAAGUAAUACUAGCAUGAAGAACAAAAUAACAGAGUGCAAGAAAACAUAGCAUGACGGUAAACACCGGUCCAUAAGCAUAACCGGAAUACCGACAGCGAUAGCAAAACAAACAGACAGUUAUUAAAGAUUCAAGUUGAAAACCAAUGCUUUUGCAUGGCUAUCAUGUGAAUGGUUGUUGUGGCUUUCCUGGGGAUGGAGAAGGCUCCAGGAAGAAGUGCGGAAAGAUCGCGGAAGGAAUCGCCGGAAAGGGUACUCUCUCGGAGGUGGCUGAUUAGGGGCAAGGGCAAAAUGGUCAUUUCCAGUAUGACAAACCAUAGUGAAAAUGAUACCAAAAGUUUGGGCUCGACGAGACGAAGAAGUGGGCUUUCGAUUCACCUCAAUCGGAGUUACGGUUGCGGAGUUAUGAGGUGUUGAACACCAGGGAUCAAUCUGUGAAUAAACUUCUACAAACAAGUCCCUGGAGGCAAAAGCUGAAAACGCCUUCGGGCGGAUUACGCCUUCUGCAAAAGAAAUUGUAUUCCCAGCCGAAGAACAACGAAAGUACGUUUCCUCAGAGGGAAAACGUAUUUCGUGGAAUACGCCUUUAGGAGAGAAAAGCGCGAAGAGGGAAAUGUGCCUCCACUUAUCCACGUCAGCGGGCCGGCCCGGUCAACGCAUGAGGCUGACGCGCGGGACCCACUGGCAGGGGGAGGGGGUGUCGUCGUCUUCCUCGCUUCCUAUCGCUCGCCCGCGCAGCCAGAGGGCAGGGACGGCGCCGGCGGCCGUGCUCGCAGCUCCGGCCACCAACGACGAUGCCCUAUAUACCGUUGGACUCAGGGGACGGAGGCGGACCCGUCUAUGGGUGGUGCGGUCGCCGGAGAGGUCGGAGGCGAGCGGGGCAUCACCCGCGGCGGACGGCGGCUUCGGGCUUGGACGGGGUUGGAGCUACGGUUCGUCCGGCGACGAAUGGAGUAGAUGUGGAGGACCUACGGGGACUGGGUGGUGCACUGGUGGUGAUAGAAGGAGGAGAGGGGCUCGGGCUUGAGCUAAUUUAGGAGGGAGGCCGCGGCGGUCAUGGCGGCGAUGGUGGUCGAGGAGAAGCUCUCGAACUCGGGCAAGAAGUGGGGCGGGGCUAGAAGGUGUAGGAUGCGAGUGCUGAAGAGAAACGGCCUCGGGGUGGCUUUAUAUAGCCGAGGGGAGGGGGAGGCGAGCUGGCGGCUCCGCGGACGCGUGUCCGGCUCCGCGGACGCGUGUGCUCGCGGCCAAGCUCGGACGGCGAUGAAGGAAAGGUCCAAAGGGGUUUACGGAGUCGAGGAGAGCUCGGGGACAAGAGAGGGAAGCCGCCGCGGCGCGAACAGAGCCGGUCGGCUACAGUUCGCCCGUGGGCGCACAGCGACGAGCGCCGACGAGGAAGCGGACGGAGGGGGAGAUGGAUCCAAGGGGACGUAGACGACGCGGGGAACACGCUGGACAGGCUCAUGCACGCGAAGACGACGAGCAUGAGCGGGGCCGAGGCAAAACGACGCUCUGGGCGUGGCCAAAGCUGCCAGAGCGCGUGCAAACGACGCGGUCACCACUGUGACCGGCAAGGAGGGGACGCGAGAGGCUGCCGCGAGCUGUCUAGUGAUGAGUACCUGCAUACUAGAGGCCGAGGGAGUUGAUAGAUCACGAAAAAGUGCCGAAGAGAGGAGUGAGUGAUCGUCUGAAGUUUACUGUAUCAAGUUUGGAGGAGCACUGCUGAUCAACAGGAAAUUGAUUGAGUCAAACGGAGUUGUCUGGGGUGUUUACCUAUGGAAGGACUACGAUCUUGGAAUAUUUGAGGUGAUUUGGACCAAUAUUUAAUACACUUGCUUUGCAAAUGCAUGAACUGGUCCAGAUUAAAGAACAGGAAGAAGCACUCACAUGGAGUGAUGAAUUGGGCUGAAAAUGGACAUGGAAGGGUGGUUUGGGCAUAUGAGAGUGCUGUAAAGAUUUUAUGCCAUUUGGCCAAACCAAAAUGGUACUUUCUUCAUACAGCACCUCUCUGGACAGAAUCUUAGGAAACAUCCUAAGGGAAAAUGGCUAUACAAAAUAUGCCCAAAUUUAGUAGAUAUAGGUUAUAUGGGUAGGAGAAGGUCUAGAAAAAUUUGCAGCCAUAAUGGAGCAAGAUAAAAUACAGUUGCUUCACAAACUGAAAUUUUGGGCAGAAUCAAAGAAUUGAAGGUACAUGGCGGCAUUACAUGAGCUCAACUUUGGUGGAGGGAAAUGAUAUGAUGAUAUUGAGGACCAUGAAAAAUUACAACUCAUUUGGAUAUGCGUAGCUUAUACCUCCUUCACAAAAUUUCUUUCUAGACAGAAACUUUGGAAAAUCAUAAUUAAAUGACUACUAGGCAAAUGAGGUUGCAUUUUGGCAUGUGCCAAUGAUAUGGACAUGAAAAGGUGUCCAAGAAGUUUGGAGUCAAUUGGGAAAAGAUAAAUAGCACUUGCUUCACAAAGUGCCAUUUAGGACAGAAUAGGGAAUGAAUUUAUUGAGCAUGAUGGGAAACAUGGCCAAUGAAAUAUUUUGCCAUAUUUGAGAAAUAUAUGACCCAAAAAAUUUAUGAGAAUAAUUUGGGAAUUUUAGGAGUGAUGGAAAUAUAGGUUGCUUCACAACCUAGGGCAGAUAGAGUUAUUCCUUUAAUAGAAAAAGAAUAUUCUCAAGGAAAAGAUUAUUGGGAUUGGGCUAGGAUGAAAAUGGAAAGGUCUAGGGAAGGAUUUGAGGUUGAAAAGCCACUCUGGAAGCAAAGAAGAGUUCAUCUUCUUCAGUUUCCAGACCACAAAGCCACGGAAAAAGAAAACUCAAGCAAAAAUAUGAGAAAAUCAAAUGAAAAAGAAAGGGCCAAAAAUCAGACCGUGACAUACUCUGAAGCACAAGUGUGGUAAAAGGAUAGUAACAUUGCCCCUUCUCUCUUUUUCUCUCAUUUUUCUCUCAUUUUUUUGUUUUUGUUUUUUUGUUUUUGUUUUGGUGGGCUUCUUUGGCCUCUUUUUUAUUUGGGCUUCUUUGGCCUUUUUUUAAGUCCGGAGUCUCAUCCCGACUUGUGGGGGAAUCAUAGUCUCCAUCAUCCUUUCCUCACUGGGGCAAUGCUCUAAUAAUGAUGAUCAUCACACUUUUAUUUACUUACAACUCAAUAUUACAACUCGAUACUAGAACAAAAAUAUGACUCUAUAUGAAUGCCUCCGGCAGUGUACCAGGAUGUGCAAUGAUCUAGCAUAGCAAAGAUAUCAAAAAAGGACAAGCCACGAAAACAUCAUGCUAGCUAUCUUACGAUCAUGCAAAGCAAUAUGACAAUGAAUGCUCAAGUCAUGUAUAUGAUGAUGAUGGAAGUUGCAUGGCAAUAUAUCUCGGAAUGGCUAUGGAAAUGCCAUAAUAGGUAGAUAUGGUGGCUAUUUUGAGCAAGAUAUAAGGAGGCUUAUGUGUGACAGAGCGUAUCAUAUCACGGGGUUUGGAUGCACCGGCGAAGUUUGCACCAACUCUCGAGGUGAGAAAGGGCAAUGCACGGUACCGAAGAGGCUAGCAAUGAUGGAAGGGUGAGAGUGCGUAUAAUCCAUGGACUCACAUUAGUCAUAAAGAACUCAUAUACUUAUUGCAAAAGUUUAUUAGCCCUCGAAGCAAAGUACUACUACGCAUGCCCCUAGGGGGAUAGAUUGGUAGGAAAAGGCCAUCGCUCGUCCCCGACCGCCACUCGUAAGGAGGACAAUCAAUAAUAAAUCAUGCUCCAACUUCUUAGCAUAACGAGAGACUAUACGUGCAUGCUUCGGGAAUCACAAACCUUAACACCAAUAUUCUUACUAAACACAACCAUUUACUAGUACCUCCCACAUAUUAUCAUCUAUAUCGCAAAACUAUUGCAAGGAAUCAAACAUAUCAUAUUCAGUGAUCUACAAGUUUUAUGUAGGAUUUUAUGACUGAUCAUGUGAAUGACCAAUUCCUGUCAUCUCUCUAAAUAGAUAUAAGUGAAGCAAGAGAGUUUAACUCUUUCUACAAAAGAUAUGCCCAAGCUCUAACAAAUAUAAGUGAAGCAAAAGAGCAUUCUACAAAUGGCGGUUUUCUAUGUGAAGAGAAACAAGCAAUCCAAACUUCAAAUGAUAUAAGUGAAGCACAUGAAGCAUUCUAUAAAGCCAUACUCAAAAGAUAUAAGUGAAGUGCAAUGAGCAUCCUAUAAAUCAACCAAGGACUAUCUCAUACCAGCAUGGUGCAUAAAAGAAAAGUGAAAACUAAAUGCAAAAUACGCUCCAAGAUUUGCACAUAGCACAUGAACGAAACAAAACCGAAAAUAUACCGAUAUUUGUUGAAGAAAGAUGGGAUGCCUUCCGGGGUAUCCCCAAGCUUAGACGCUUGAGUCUCCUUGAAUAUUUACUUGGGGUGCCUUGGGCAUCCCCAAGCUUGAGCUCUUGCCUCUCCUCCUUCUCCUCACAUCGAGACCUCCUCGAUCUUCGAACACUUUAUCCACACAAAACUCAACAGAAAGCUCGGUAAGAUCGUUAGUAUAAUAAAGCAAAUCACUACUCUAAGUACUGUUGAAAACCAAUUCAUAUUUUGUUUUUUCAUUGUAUCUACUGUAAUAUAACUUUUCCAUGGCUUAAUCCACUGAUAGAAAUAGAUAGUUUCAUCAAAACAAGCAAACUAUGCAUCAGAAACAGAAUCUGUCUUAAACAGGACAGUCUGUAGUAAUCUGAACAUUCACCAUACUUCUGGUACUCCAAAAAUUCUUCCAAAAUUAGGAAAAAUAAAAAAUUUGUAUAGAAAGACAGUGCAAAAAGUUUCAGAACCGUUUGACGUUCCAGUAAAACAUGUAAAUUCGCGCACUACAGCCAAAGUUUCUGUCUUGCACCGCACAAACCAACAAGCAAUCUAAACAUCCUAAAGGCAAAUCUUGGCACAUUAUUUUUGUUUUUAAACUUUAUAAAAGCACACAACAGAAAUAAAUGACUCUCUAAAACUUCCGGGUUGUCUCCCUGGCAGCGCUUUCUUUAAAACCAUUAAGCUAGGCAUAUAGUGCUCAAGUAAUGGGUCCUCCCGGAUCCCAAGGUAUAUCAAAUCCAAUUUUAAUUAGCAAUGAUUUGUGAUUUAGUAGUGAGCACAAAGUAACAUAUAUCAUGCAACAACGAAGUCUAACUCUCUUCCUAUGCAUCGUCAUGUCAUAAAAGAACAAUUCAUGCACACAUAGUACAUGCCAAUGCAUAGUAUAAACAAUUUCUUGCAAUUUUAUCAUAUUGGAAACAUAGAGAGGUGGAGAUAUAGUUCCUCUCUCAUAAUAAUUGCAAGUAGGAGCAGAAAGCACAUGCAUAUUAUAUCUAUCAAAUCAUCAUGUGUAGUAGUAAAAACGCAACCCAUCUAUAUAAUCCUUAAUAAGGGCAAACUUCUCCGAUAUAGUGUAGUCAGGAGAAUUCAAAAAGAUAAUAGGACUAUCAUGCGUGGGUGCAAUAGCAACAAUUUCAUGUUUAACAUAAGGAACUAUAGCAAGUUCAUCUCCAUAAGCAGAAUUCAUAUUGGCAUCUUGUCCACAAGCAUAGCAAGCAUCAAGUUCAUCAAAAAGGGAUAUUUCAAAAGAAUCAACAGGAUCAUAGCAAUUAUCAUAGCAUUCAUCCUUCGGUAAAUUCGAAGGGAAAUUAAACAAUGUAUGAGUUGAGGAGUUACUCUCAUUAGAAGGUGGGCACAGGUAGCUAAUCCGAUCUUCCUCCUUUUGUUCUUCGCUCUCCUCAUCAUCUUUUUUCAUCCAAUGAGCUCACAGUUUCAUCAAUUUCUUCUUCUUCCAUAGACUCCUGCAAAAUAGUAGUCUCUUCUCGGACAGCGGAGACUUUCUCAAUAAAUUCAUCAAUGUCAUAAUUGUAUUUAUAAUUCUCUUAGCAAUAUUUAAGGAUAGCUAAAUUUUUAGUUCUAUAAAUUGAAUCAUCAAAAUCUUCAAACUCUUUAAACAAAGAUUCAAUUUCACAUGCACCCUUAAAAGCAACAAAUUCCUCUAUUCGUUCCACAUCAUAGUAAUCAUAUAUACCUCUAGCAUAAGAAGCCAAGGUUUUAUUACCAUUAAAUCUACAUGAAAAGGGAAGGUGUGGAGCCUUCAUCCUAGAGCAACAAGUAUAAUCAUAUCUCAAGCAUAGUUGCCGAGCAUACCAAUGCAACAUAUGAAUUUGAUCCCAUAAUAGUUUCCCUUUUUGAGUCAAGCGAUAAUCCCUAAAGUAUUCACGUUGAUCCAACGUGUCUCCCAUUAUAUAAUUGAAUGGGGUUUUCUCAGGAUUAUUAAAGUAGUGCAUAAUAUCUUUCACAUAAUGAGCAUCGAGGGUUUUAGGAGGCUCCCCAUCUCCAUGAGUAGCAAGUACACCUAUUUUUUUUGGUAUUUCGUGUUCCAUAUCCAUAACUAAAGAUAGAGAACAACUUAGAACAGAAAAUAAAAACUACUUAGUGAUAAAGCAAACAAGCACACACGAGAAUAUUCACCCCACGCUAUAACUCCCCGCAACGGCGCCAGAAAAAGGUCUUGAUAACCCACAAGUAUAGGGGAUCAAUUGUAGCCUCUUUCGAUAAGUAAGAGUGUCAAACCCAACGAGGAGCUAAAGGUAGAACAAAUAUUCCCUCAAGUUCUAUCGACCACCGAUACAACUCUACGCACGCUUAACGUUCGCUUUACCUAGAACAAGUAUGAAACUAGAAGUACUUUGUAGGUGUUGUUGGAUAGGUUUGCAAGAAUAUAAAGAGCACGUAAAUAAAAUGUAGGGGCUGUUUAGAUAAAUACACAAUAAAGUUAAUACAACGAGUGUGGAAAAGUGGUGGUAGGAGUUGCGAAAUUGUCCCUAAGCAAUUGACUACUUUACUAGACCGAUAGCAAGUUUUAUGUGGGAGAGGCCACUGCUAGCAUGUCAUCCCUGACUUGGAAUUGUAUGCACUUAUGAUUGGAACUAUUAGCAAGCAUCCGCAACUACUAACGUUCAUUAAGGUAAAACCCAACCAUAACAUUAAGAUAUAUUGGUCCCCCUUCAAUCCCGUAUGCGUCAAUUUAUAUGCUAGGUUGAAGCUUCUGUCACUCUUGCCCUCCAAUACAUAGUCUUAUCAACAUACAACUAACCCUAUGGUGUGAUCCACGCGCACACUCAUAUGAUGGGCACCAAAGGACAGCAACAUAACCACAAGCAAAUUAAACCAAUCAUAGCAAUUCACCAAUUACCGAUAGGACAACGAAAAUGUACUCAGACAUCAUAGGAUGGCAACACAUCAUAGGAUAAUAAUAUGAAGCAUAAAGCACCAUGUUCAAGUAGAGGGUACAGCGGGUUGUGGGAGAGUGGACCGCUGUAGAUAGAUGGGGGAAGGUGAUGAAGAUGUUGGUGAAGAUGACGGAGGUGUUGGUGUAGAUCGCGGUGACGAUGAUGGCCCCGGCGGCGUUCCGGCGCCACCGGGAGAGAGGGGGUGUCGGAGUAAAUGGCCACGGGUAGCCUAACCGACCCCCCCUGGCUCUUUGAAAAAUUAUCAGGCCGAUCAAGCCUUCAAGCAUCCAAAGCAUAGGGCCGCCUUCCCCUGGCCGGCUAUCUCACCAGCCGACUCCUGGGCGGCGACCCGGCCCUAAAAACCUUCCCGAAGAGAACCACAAGAUGGCCGACUCCAGGAAGCCGGCCCCAAGGGUGCCGACUCCCAGAAGCCGGCCAAGAUUGCACCCUCAUAAUGGUGACGAGACGGGACGUGGCUACAGCACAGCCAGCCACCCCCCGAAUCCCGGAGCACGUGUGGCCACAGUGCGCCGUACGGGUCAGCCAUCCCCCGUCCGGUGCGACACUGUUGCCAUGUUGACCAUGACGCCACCCACGACAGGCGCCAGUACGGCCUGCGGGCGGCGGGCCCCUUCAGCCAGAGAGACGCUCGAAGGCGGCCAAGCCUCCCCCAGUCGGCCUGGGGCGUAGCCGGCUCCCAAUAGCCGGCUACCUCCCUCCCUCAAAGUAUGUGCAUCAUUAAGGAGACAAGGCGAGGUAAGGCUACAGUGAGAGCCCGCCAGGCAGCGGCACUGUAGCCAUGCUUACCUCGACAAAGCCCUCGUCAUCAGGGGCGAGGCUACAGUAACCAGCCACCGACAAGACCCCCAGGCGGUGGGGCCGGCCUGUCGGCCAAGAGGCCGGCAGCCGGCGGGACCCACCAGUCGGCGGGCCCUAGCGGUCGGCAAAGAAGCCGGCGAAUACAGGCACUGACGGCUAGGACCCGCGUCUAGCCGGAUUACCAUUGUACCCCUGGGGGGUAGGCCUAUAUAAACCCCCUAGGGCACCAUGCAAAGGGUUGAUCUCUUAGAGUUUUAGACACCACAUAGAGAGAAAAGGAGAGCUAGCCUUGCCCUUCUUCUUCCUCUAGCCAAAUAGCUCAAGGAGCCACUUGUAGCUACUUGUGUUGAUCUAGUGAUCAUGCGGAGACCCCGCGGAGCAGGACUAGGGGUGUUAUCUCCACGGAGAGCCCCGAACCUGGGUAAGAUUCACCGGCGUGCAUGUCUUUGCCUCAUCCCGUUUCCAGGCACCGGCGAUGUCUUACUGGCUCCCACAAUGAUAAGCCACCCAUUGGCAUAUGUCGCACCUACCACCCGACAUUUGGCGCCCACCGUGGGGCCAGGUGCACCGUCGUCCGGAGACCUGUUCUGGACGGGAACCCUUUUCCUUCCCAGCGAGCGUAGCCAGCCCGACACGCCCGAUGGCGCUUGCCCCGACGCGCUGCAAGGCGCCGACGACGCCUGCGCGGCGAGCUGCCUCGCCGAUCUUCUUGGCGAGGCUCGCAUCUCCGAUGAGCCUGCGUCUGACACGGGCACAGACUGCCCCGAGAGCCGCCUCGUCAGCCUCCUUGACCAGCUUCACGUCUCCAGCGAGCUUGCUGUGGACUUGGAGUCGGUCGGCUCCACCGACCCGAUGUUGGUCGACUCCGACACGGCAUCACUUGACGCCUUCCCCACCGAUGUGGUGAUCAUCGACGACCCUCUUCCUUGAGCCGAUAGCGGCAGCAGCGCUGUCACUGAGGUGCUAGUCAUCAGCCACGGCGCCGUCUCCGGCGAGAACGCCCACGACGCCCUACAAGCAGCGCUGCACGACUUAUCCGUCCCGAUCCCGGCCGACGCCGACGCCGAGACACUGGAGGCACGCCGCCUCGCCCUCGUCGCGGAAGGCCAGAAGAUAGCAUCCAUGGGAUGCCUCACUGAGGCUCACCAGCGCGAAGUCGACCGCGCCGCCUUCGGUACGCCACCUCCUGGCGGGCCGAGCCGAGCCGGCUUCGUCAAGAAGCGCGGCGCAGCCAUCGCCAGCAUGCUGGGAGCAGACCGCCCAGUCUACGCCACGCCACUUGAGAACCUGCGUGCCGCUCAGGCGGCCGUAGACGAGCUGAACGGGCUGGGGGCCGACGAGCUGCCCUACAUGACUAGACGCAUCCAGCAGCUGAUCGACGCGGCCACAGAGCGGCAUGAAGCCAGCGCCCGCGCCGAAAGUCCUCCCCAACGCCGAGAGCACAGCGCGACAUCCCGGACGCCGACUGCGGACGGCGCCCGCGCAAGAAAAGACAAGGAGCCGGCUGCUAGCCGCAGCCGGACACGGCUCACCAUCGAGCGCGACGCAGAAGGCCGCCCCCGAGCUGUGGAACGACGAGGUGAUCCGCCUCCUCCCCCGCCUCGUGGGAAGAGAUAUCCCACCCCGCCGCCUGUCACGCAUCCGACUGUCGGCGGCCGACUAGGUCACCGCGAAGGAGUCAGCGAGAAUGACGCCCGCCACCGGAUCGACCGCCUAGCGCGAUCCCUGGCGCUAGAGGAAGAAGAUGAUGUCGGCCCGCCUUGCUUUGGCCCCCGCAUCCGCGACGAACCCUUCCCCAAAGGGUUCUAGCUCCCAAGAGACACGCAAAAAUACAACGGCCCCGUGAAGCCGGAAGACUGGUUGAUCGACUACUCCACCGCAGUUCACAUAGCAAAUGGCAACAGGCGCGUUGCCGUGAAGUACGUCCCGCUCAUGCUUCAAGGCACAGCACACACUUGGCUGAAUAGCCUCAAGCCCUACAGCAUCAACAGCUGGCUAGACUUCACGGAGGUCUUCAUCCGCAACUUCACCAGCACGUACAAGCGGCCUCCCAAGCCCCGCCAGCUCUCCUUGUGCGUCCAAGGGCCCCGCGAAUCAACUCACGACUACCUCACGCGUUGGGCUGAGCUCCACAACUCCUGCGAAGGGGUGCAUGAGGUUCAAGCCAUAGAGUACUUCACCACCGGGUGCCGAGAGGGCACCCUCCUCAAGCACCGAAUCCUCUGCGACGAGCCGACUACCCUCGACGAGCUGCUGAUCAUAGCAGACAAGUACGCCACGGCCGACUCUUCAAUGAAGACCGAGCUUCGAGUGGAUGCCUCUGGAAAGGUGCUCGCUCUGGCUCCCAAGACACCAGCUGGUGACUCCAACCGACGCCCUUACCAGAAUGACAACAAGCGCAAGGCCCCUAUGCCGCCUUCCACCAGUCGGCAGGUAGCCACAGUCGAAGAUGAACAACCUGAAGAGCGGCCCGCGCCCAAGAAGCAGAAGGGCGGCAGGCCGGCUUGGCAGCCGGCUUUCUCCUACGAGCAAACCCUUGAUGCCCCCUGCAAGUUCCACAGCGGCGUGAAGCCGUCCAAGCACACGACCUGGAAAUGCCAUUGGCUCACGCGGAUCUUCAAAGGCGAGGGGCUGGUGCCGCCUCCGCCUGCUGGCCCGCCGCCUCCAGCCCCUCAGCAGCCGACUGUUCGACCAGCAGUCGGAGCCAUUCAAGAUGAGUUCCCAGAUGAGCAUGCCGCCUACGUCGUCUUCACAAACCAAAUUGAAGACAGGCGCAGGCGGCGCCGACAGCACCAAGAAGUCAACGCGGUCGCCUCCAACAACCCCGAGUUUAUGCAUUGGUCUGAGAAGCCUAUCAGCUGGAGCCGGGCCGAUCACCCAGAGGUGAUACCGUCUCCCGGCUCUUAUGCAUUGGUGUUGGACGCCACCCUCGCGACAGAAAGGCGAGCUGCCCGUUUCUCCCGUGUGCUGAUCGACGGUGGAAGCAACAUCAACAUACUGUACCGCGACACCAUGGAGAAGUUGAACCUCAAGACGAAGCAACUCAUGCCAAGCUGGACUGCAUUCCAUGGCAUCGUACCUGGCCUGUCCUGUUCCCCAAUCGGCAAGAUCAAGAUGGAUGUUCUCUUCGAAGACAAGGAUCACUUCCGCCGAGAGGCGAUCUGGUUUGAAGUGGUGGAUCUAGAGAGCCCUUACCACACAUUGCUUGGCCGACCUGCCCUGGCCAAGUUCAUGGCUGUGCCCCACUACGCCUACCUCAAGAUGAAGAUGCCGAGUUCGAAGGGGAUCAUCACCAUAGCCGGAGACUACAAGAAAUCCUCCGAGUGUGCUGCAGCCAGCAGCCGGCUGGCCGAGUCCCUCGUGAUUGCUGAAGAGAAGAAGAUGCUGGACCGAGUCGUGGCCAUGGUCGGCAAGCAGCCAGCCCUGUCCCCCCGACUCCAAGGAGUAUGACGCCCAAGGCUCCUUCCAGCCAGCCAAGGAAACAAAGAAGAUACCGCUGGACCCGGAGAACCCGGAGAGGUUUGCUGUCAUUGGGGCAAACCUAGACAGCAAAUAGGAAGGCGAGCUCGUCGACUUCCUCCGUGAGAAUCGGGACAUCUUUGCAUGGUCCCCAAAGGACAUGCCAGGUGUUCCGAAGGAUUUCGCCGAGCACAAGCUACACGUUCGAGCAGACGCAAAACCAGUCAAGCAACCUCUCCGCCGACUGUUGGAGGAGAAGAGAAGGAUAGUGGGAGAAGAGAUAGCCCGGCUCCUUGCAGCCGGCUUCAUUAUGGAGGUGUUUUUUCCAGAAUGGCUUGCCAACCCGGUCCUGGUGUUGAAGAAAAACAAUAAAUGGCGUAUGUGUAUAGAUUACACCAGCCUCAACAAAGCCUGCCCCAAAGAUCCGUUUGCCUUACCACGAAUCGAUCAAGUGAUAGACUCCACAGCCGGAUGCGAGCUGUUGAGUUUCUUGGAUGCUUACUCAGGCUACCACCGGAUCAAGUUGGAUCCAGCCGACCGCCUGAAGACCGCCUUCAUCACACCAUUCGGAGCUUUCUGCUACCUGACUAUGACAUUCGGCUUGAGAAAUGUCGGUGCCACCUUUCAGCGUUGCAUGCAGAAAUGCCUCCUCAAGCAACUCGGCAGAAAUGCCCACGUCUAUGUAGACGAUAUUGUGGUGAAGACGGAGAAGCGCGGCACCCUGCUGGAAGGCCUCAGAGAAACAUUUGCCAACUUGCGCCGGUUUCAGAUCAAGCUCAACCCUGAGAAAUGCGUGUUCGGAGUACCAGCCGGCCAGCUUCUAGGCUUUUUGGUCUCCGAACGCGGCAUCGAGUGCAACCCAGUGAAGAUCAAGGCCAUAGAGAGAAUGGAGAUUCCUACCAAGCUGCGAGACGUCCAGAAGUUUACCGGGUGCCUGGCCUCCCUAAACCGCUUCAUCAGCCGGCUAGGAGAGAAGGCUCUCCCCCUGUACCGACUCAUGAAGAAGUCCACCCACUUCGAGUGGAACGACCAAGCAAACCAAGCUUUCCACGAGUUGAAGAAGAUGCUGACCACGCCACCUGUCUUGGCGGCGCCGACUGAGAAAGAGCCCAUGCUCCUUUACAUUGCCGCGACUAGCCGAGUGGUCAGCAUAGUGAUUGUGGUCCAACGCCCAGAAGAAGGCCGGGCUCAGUUAGUCCAGAGGCCGGUGUAUUAUUUGAGCGAAGUACUGUCCACCUCGAAGCAAAACUACCCGCACUACCAGAAGAUGUGCUAUGGAAUAUACUUUGCUGCCCAGAAGCUGAAGCCCUACUUUCAAGAGCAUCCCAUCACGGUCGUAUGUACUGCCCCGCUCGCCGAGAUCAUAGGCAGCCGGGAUGCAUCCGGCUGGGUGGCUAAGUGGGCCAUUGCGCUGGCUCCGUACACGAUCUUCUAUGAGCCCCGCACCGCCAUCAAGUCCCAAGCAUUGGCCGACUUCCUUGUCGACUGGGCCGAGACCCAGUACCUACCGUCGGCUCCUGACUCCACUCAUUGGCGGAUGCACUUCGAUGGAUCCAAGAUGCGCACCGGCUUGGGAGCCGGCAUCGUCCUCACCUCUCCCAAGGGCGACAAACUCAGAUACACAUUGCAAAUUCAUUUGCCGCCUCCAACAAUGUGGCCGAGUAUGAGGCGCUCAUACACGGGCUCCGAGUAGCCAAAGAGCUCGGCAUACGCCGAAUCCUGUGCUAUGGCGACUCGGAUCUGGUAGUCCAGCAAUCAUCCGACGACUGGGACGCCAAGGAUGCAAACAUGGCGAGCUACCGAUUCCUCGUUCAGCAAAUCAACGGAUACUUUGAAGGAUGCGAGUUCCUCCACGUGCCACGGGCCGAGAACGAGCAAGCAGAUGCCCUGGCACGGAUCGGCUCCACCCGACAAGCUAUACCAGCCAGCGUCUCUCUUCAACGCCUCCUCAAACCGUCUGUCAAGCCGUCUCCAGAAUCAGACUCCAUCUUUGUACCGCCUGCCCCUGAUGCAGUCGGAUCCGACUUGGGGAACCCAGCAGGCGGCUCGGGGACUUCGACAAGUGGCCCGGGGACUGCCGUAGUCGCACCCGGCUCGGGGACUUCAGAACCCGGCCCGGGGACUGCAACUACACAACAUGCGGUGGCCGACUCCAACUCUUCACCACCCAACCCACCCACCCGGGUCACAGUAGCCGUAUUGGCAAUAGAAGAAGUCACAGCUCCAUCAUGGGCCCAACCCAUCCUCAACUUCUUGGUAAACAGAGAGCUGCCAACUGAUGAGAUCUCGGCGAGACAAGUUCAACGCCGAGCCGGAGCAUACACAAUAAUAAACAGAGAACUCGUUAAGCGUAGUGUCACUGGAGUCUUCCAGCGCUGCGCCGAGCCAGAGAAGGGCAUAGCAAUCCUCAAGGACAUCCACCAAGGCGAAUGCGGCCACCACGCAGCCUCAAGAUCACUUGUCGCCAAAGCUUUCCGCCAUGGUUUCUUCUGGCCGACUGCUUUGGAAGACGCCAAGGAAUUAGUCAAAUGCUACAAAGGGCAGCUCCAAGCAACACCUGCCGGCUUCUGCACUCAAGACCAUCCCCCUCACCUGGCCCUUUGCCGUCUGGGGGCUGGACAUGGUGGGCCCAUUCAAGACGGCGCGCGGCGGCAUGACACAUCUGCUUGUCGCCGUGGAAAAAUUCACCAAGUGGAUUGAAGCGAAGCCAAUCAAGAAGCUUAACGGGCCGACUGCCGUGACAUUCAUCGCAGAUAUCACCAUCCAGUAUGGCAUACCACACAGCAUCAUCACCGACAACGGCACGAAUUUUGCCAAGGGAGCACUGGCACGUUUCUGCGCGACACAGGGCAUCCGACUGGACUUAGCGUCCGUUGCCCACCCGCAGUCAAACGGCCAAGUCGAGCGAGCAAACGACCUCAUCCUCUCCGGCAUCAAGCCUUGACUGGUCGUACCACUGGAGCGUUCGGCCGGCUGCUGGCUCGAUGAGCUGCCGGCUGUCCUCUGGAGUCUGUGUACUACCCCGAACAAGUCAACCGGCUUCACUCCUUUCUUCCUUGUAUAUGGUGCCGAGGCUGUCAUCCCAACUGACAUCGAGUUCGAGUCGCCUCGGGUCACCAUGUACAUAGAGGCGGAGGCCAAGGAAGCGCGAGAAGACGGCGUCGACCUGCUGGAAGAGGGCCGGCUGUUAGCACUCAGCCGGUCCGCCAUCUACCAGCAGGGUUUGCGCCGUUACCACAACCGGAAGGUCAAGCCAAGAUCCUUCCAAGAAGGUGAUCUUGUGCUCCGGCUGAUCCAGCGAACAGCCGGCCAACACAAACUCUCAGCCCCUUGGGAAGGCCCCUUUGUCAUCAGCAAGGCCCUAGGCAACGACUCCUACUACCUGAUCGACGCACAGAAGCCGAAGGCACGCAAGAGGGAUGAUUCUGGCAAAGAGUCAGAACGACCAUGGAACGCCAAUCUCCUGAGAAGAUUUUAUAGUUAAAAGCAGUAUGUACCACGCUACCUUUUGUAUUAAGCACAAGACAACGGGCCCCCCGAGGUGCACUCGGGGGCUACCCUCUUUUAUUUUUGCAUGACGAGUGUCAUACCUAUGAAUGUAUUAUUACAUUUGAUUUUCGGUCCGGCACCGGGUUCGAUCAGUCGGCCCGGGGACUCGCCGCCUUGAGUUAUAUUAAAGUUCUGCCUGCAGUCAGACAAGUAGUGUGCCGGCACCCAAGCCCUCUCUUGUUGAAAGUCGCAGCUCGAAGAACCGACUGUCCGACUGGCAAGAGCCAAAGGCAGGAAAGGAUGCCCACACGAAAAACGGCUAAGGACUAACAAACUUAUAUAACACAAGCCGGCCUCCCACCCCGCCUACCGGCUGUCAGAACAGCCGGCUGGCCGGCUUCCCAUUCACUUUGCUACAAUCCAAGAAAGCUAGAGUACUUGCCCUUCCUACCGGCCAAGCACUUCUCCAGCCAUAGACUGCAGAGCAGCUGUCCGACUGGGAAGGCGGCGACCAAGGGAGGGCGGCAAAGGAAACAGCCAAAGGAUGAAAAGCAAGAACAAUGGGAAGCCAAACACAUGCAUGAUUAUAUUUACACAAAAGGCCUUCAACAGGGCGGCAGUCAACAUAGUUUGAAUACACCCCCAGUGGGUGGAACUGCGUAAACUUAACAAAAUAUUGUUUGAAGAGCAAUAAACAGGAAAGCAAAGGUGGCGGAUCAGGCUAGGGCGCAACAGGCGAGCCGGGCUGGUCGGUGGAGACGGCAUUACCGGCUGGAGGAGUGGCCGGCUGGCGAGUCUCGUCUAGAUCAUCACCGGCUGCAGGCGGCGCGCUCGCAUGCGCCUCGUUGCUGGAGGCACGAUCAAGUUGAGGCUGGCCGGUUGCUCCACCGUCUGCCACGACGUCUUCACCAUCCUCUCCCUCCUCCUCUUCGCCCUCGUCGCUGGAGUCGAUCUCCUCCGCCGAGUCCUCACCAUCCGCCGGGUUCAGCCCGAACCACUCCUCCGGCUAAGCAAUGCCGUUAUCAUCCACCUCAGGAGCAAAGACGCUGGUGUCGGUGUAGUCGGCGAUUGCCGAGGCGCUCUGGAUGAUAUCCGGCCGCACCGCCUCCAACUCCUCGUCGGCCUCCUGCCGCUAGGUGGCCAGCUUCUCCAAGCUCAACUCGGGAUACCAGGCUUUGAUGAACUCCAGCGCCCGCCUGACGCCUGACCGAGUUGUAGAAGCCUUCCAGGCCUCGAAGCGGCCAACCGCUACCUCCAGCCAGUCGGCAGUCCGACUGGGGGUACGGGGAACCACCUCGCCGGGCCAGAGGGCGGCCAGCACUUGCGCCCCAACGCGCUGAAGAUGGCCGAGCAUGCGGUGAGCCGGCUGGAGGCAGGCUUGGAUCGCCAGAAGCUGCUCCUCAAGCGAUCGACGAGCAUUCGGCGCGAUCUCAACACCAGCCUGCCUUCGCGCCUCGCGGUGGGCCUCGACGACCUGGUUGGCGGCAGUAGUGUAACCAGGGAAGUACUCUGCACAAGAAAGAAAGGAAGAAAGGAAGAGAAAAAACACAAAGUCAGAGAAUUGACCAAAUGGCAAGCGGCAAGCAAGGAACGAAGAAGAAGGCGGCCUACCGUCAACCAAGUCUUCGAUCUGGCCGUAGCCGUUGAUCAGCGACUGCCUUGCCUCAGCCCAGCUCGCCGCCUCGGUCUUGUACUCGGCCUGGAGGGUGACCUCGCUGUCCUGCGCCACCUUCAGGGCCGCCUUGUGGCUCUCCUCCUGGUCGGCCAGCCUCUUGACCAAGCGGUCACGCUCCUGAACCAAGGAGUUGAACUCGGCUUCCUUGGCGCGAAGGGCGGCCUGGGUCCCACCCAGCUGCUCCCUCAGGUUGGCAUUGGCCUCUGCAGAUAUGGCAAAGAAGAAAAAAGCAAUAAGAAGGAAGUCGCCAGGAAAGAUCCGACCCGACUGCUCAGCAGUCAGCCCGAAUCUCGGGGACUACACCCAGUGGGUGCGCUGACGCGCCCCCACGUGAGAUAAAAGAUGAAGCACUUACUCCGGCUCUCAGUUAGAUCGGCGGUCUUCUGGGUCAGCUCCCGAGCCUGGGAGUUGAAGGCAGCCGCGCGGAGGUUAUGGUAGUCCUGCAAGUCGGACAGAGAAGCGAACAAGAGCAAGAUAAGCAAUCAAAGUCUACCAAGAAGUUCCAAGCCGCCUGCUCAGCAGCCGACUCGGAACUCGGGAACUACACCCAGUGGGUGCGCUGACGCGCCCCCACGGAAGAAAUCAAGAUCAAGAAACAGAAAAGCGGGAAGACUCACCCGAAUGGCCGUCCGUGUCGCGAGGAACUCUUGAUUGUACUGCCUCAGCACGACAGCCUGGGACUGAAGCCGGUUCUAGACUUCUUGCGCCGCCAUGUUCAUCACGACCGUCCCACCACCCGGCGUCCACCUCGAGCUGGCGCUGGCCGUCUCCAGAUCCUGGGUCGACGAACUAGAGCCCGCGGCCUUCUGCGGGUCUGGCGCCGAAGUCGCCUUCCCCGCACGCUGGCGCGAUGGCGACCGGACCACCAGGUCCGUCCUCGCAGCCGGCUCGCCUCCAGCCGGCUGCACGGGCGGCGCGUCAAGCCGGCUGCCUCGGUCCGCCCCAGUCGGCGAUGGCGGUGCCGCCUCCCUCUCCCAGACGACGACGUCGUCCUCCUCCCUCUCCAUCACCGGCAGGUCGCCACCGGCUUCCUCCGGCGGGGGCUCCGGGAUCUUGGGCGCCACGACGCGCAGGAGGGUGACAAGCAAGGCCCCCGCCGCUGCCUCUGCGGCUGCAGCCUCCGCCUGAGCCUUGGCCGCUGCGUCGGCUUGUGCCUUCGCCGACUCCUCCGCCAUCUCCUGCGCCGCCUUCAGCUCCUCCGCCUCCCGCUCCUCCCGCGCCUCCCGCGCGUUCCUCUCUGUCGCCGCUUGAAGCUCGGCACGGGGAUCCAUGCGGCGGGUGCUCCCGGAUCCUCCCGCCGAUCCAACCACGGAGGCGGCAGCGAUCCGCUCAAGAGAGAGCGGAGCCCUGUUUGAUAAGUCAAGACAAGCAUUCAGAAAUCGACAAGAAAAGAAGAAGGAACACGCGAGAGAAUCGACACUUACGUUGAAACCUUUUGCGGCUGCUUCACCAUCUUGCGGAAGCGGGCCGCCUUCGCGGCCACCUCUUCCCGCCUGGUCGCCACCGCCCUGCUCUUGGGCUUCUUUGGCCGACUGCCGAACAAGCCCGACGCGGCCCGGCGCUUCUGCGCGCCGCCUCGAACAGGCGGUGCGGCAGAUGAACCCGCGCCAUGGUCGGACGCCGGCUGGCGGCGCGGGACGAUUUCCGCCUCGUCGUCAUCCGGCCAGUUGUCGUCCAUAGUGGCAGCCCCCAAGUCGGGGUCCUCCAAGUCAUGCGCCGCCCGGUCGGGGAGAAAUUGGCGAUCCGCCCCCGCUGACCCGGCCGCCGGUCGAAGGAGAGGGCUCUGCCAAGACGAGCCGACUGGUCAGAGUCGGCCGAGAAAAACUUGGUGACAAAACUAAAGAAGAGAAGAUAAAGAAAGCAUACCAUAGGCGGAGGAUUGGCACGGGAGUACGGCUCCUUGCCAAACUGCCACUCCUCGGAGAGCUUGCAGUUCGCGAGAUAGUUCACCAUGUGAGCUACCUCGUCAUGAGGCAUCUCCUUGGUGCACAUCCGGCUCGGAUCGAGCUGGCCGCUCAUUUGAUAGAUCAAAUGAGGCCGGCCUUAAAGCAGGAGCACCCGGCGCACCACGAAGGCGGCCAGCAGGUCGGACCCAGUCAGGCCCUCCGACUGGAUCAUUACUCGGAGUCGGGCGACGACGGCGGCUCCAGCCGGCGACAGCGUCCUUGCCCGAUAGGACCACUGGGGCCGCCUCCCAGCCGGCGGGCCGGCUACGUAAGCCGGCAAGUUGACGUAGUCGCCUUGCGGGGCGACGUUCUUCAUGUAGAAGUACAAUUUCUGCCAGAGCUUCACCGACUGGAUCAGCGUGAUGGUAGGGAAGGGGUUGUCGGCUACCGGCCUCCGCAUCGCGAUGAAGGUGCCGCUCUGAGCCGGCAUGCCCUGCAUGCGGGUGCCGAGCUUGGAUUGGAAGAAUUCCCCCUAGAGUUCGAGGGUGGGAAGAACGCCAAGAAAGCCCUCGCACAGAGUGACGAAGGCAGACAGCAGCACCACCAUGUUUGGAGUGAGAUGGUGCGGCUGGAGCUGGUAGAAUUCAAGGAAGGAGUGGAAGAAGGCGCUCGCGGGCAGGCCAAGGCCGCGCAGGAAAUGCGAGUGGAAGAUUACCCGCUCGCCUUCCUUCGGCGCCGGCGUGAUUUCCUUCUUCGACGCAAGACGGACCCGCACUUGGUCCUCGCCGGGUAACCGCCGCGUCUUGCGGAGGAAGUCGAUGUGGUCCGCGUGGACGUUGGAGCCGUCUCAGUCUCCGCCGUGCUGCAUGACGGCAAGAAGCCAACGAGAAAGGGCGCGGCGACGGUGAAACCACGGCUCCGCGGCGGCGAAGCUGCGGGGUAGUGCGAAGACUAGAGGGAUGGCGCGGCGGCGAAGGGCUGCUGCAACGGAGAAGGAGAAGAAGAAAAUGGCGGAGCGAGGGUGAGCGUGCGAGCGUCUGCCGCCCCCCCUCCUCCCCCUACUUAUAGCCUCGUGCGGUGAAGCCGAGGAGGCGAGGUGUGGGGGGGGGAACGUGGGAUUAACUGCGCCCACUCCCCCACGUCCCGCGAUUAUUGCGCCCUAACGACAUGCAGAAACUGCCGUCGGAAGGCGAGCGGCCCGCUUUGGGCCACAGAAAAUCCGCGCCUAGGCCUAGGCGUGGGAGUGGUGGGCCCCGACCUGCGGCGGCGUCCCGUCACGCGCGUGGGUUGGCAGGCUUUUUUCAGCCGGAGGGUGCCACAUGGCGCGCGGGCGGCAAGCGGCCGGCCCGCAACCCGGCAUGCACACCAGCUGGCUCCCGCCUUCAGACUUCAAAAUCUCGCCAAAACGGCGCACCCAACCGAAGCCGGCUCCUAGCUGCUGGCUCUUCAAGAUAGGAAGCUGACCGAGCUUCUCGUCCUCCUCUCAGCCUCGAAGCCCAACCAGCUUCGGGGACUACUGUCGGAGUAAAUGGCCACGGGUAGCCUAACCGACUCCCCCUGGCUCUUUGAAAAAUUAUCAGGCCGAUCGAGCCUUCAAGCAUCCAAAGCACAGGGACGCCUUCCCCUGGCCGGCUAUCUCACGAGCCGACGCCUGGGCGGCGACCCGGCCCUAAAAACCUUCCCGAAGAGAACCACAAGAUGGCUGACUCCAGGAAGCCGGCCCCAAUGGUGCCGACUCCCAGAAGCUGGCCAAGAUUGCACCCUCAAGGGCUGCACCCUCAUAACGGUGACGAGAUGGGACGUGGCUACAGCACAGCCAGCCACCCCCCGAAUCCCGGAGCACGCGUGGCCAUAGUGCGCCGUACGGGUCGGCCAUCCCCCGUCCGGCGCGGCACUGUUGCCAUGUUGACCAUGACGCCACCCACGACAGGCGCCAGUACGGCCCGCGGGCGGCGGGCCCCUUCAGCCAGAGAGACGCUCGAAGGCGGCCAAGCCUCCCCUAGUCGGCCUGGGGCGUAGCCGGCUCCCAAUAGCCGGCUACCUCCCUCCCUCGAAGUAUGUGCAUCAUUAAGGAGACAAGACGAGGUAAGGCUAUAGUGAGCGCCCGCCAGGCGGCGGCACUGUAGCCAUGCUUACCUCGACAAAGCCCGCGUCAUCAGGGGCGAGGCUAUAGUAACCAGCCACCGACAAGACCCCCAGGCGGUGGGGCUGGCCUGUCGGCCAAGAGGCCCGCAGCCGGCAGGACCCACCAGUCGGCGGGCCCCAGCGGUCGGCGAAGAAGCCGGCGAAUACAGGCACUGACGGCUAGGACCCGCGUCUAGCCGGAUUACCAUUGUACCCCUGGGGGUAGGCCUAUAUAAACCCCCAGGGCACCCAUGCAAAGGGUUGAUCUCUUAGAGUUUUAGACACCACAUAGAGAGAAAAGGAGAGCUAGCCUUGCCCUUCUUCUUCCUCUAGCCAAACAGCUCAAGGAGCCACUUGUAGCUACUUGUGUUGAUCUAGUGAUCAUGCGGAGACCCCGCAGAGCAGGACUAGGGGUGUUAUCUCCACGGAGAGCCCCGAACCUGGGUAAGAUUCGCCGUCGUGCAUGUCUUCGCCUCAUCCCGUUUCCAGGCACCGGCUAUGUCUUACUGGCUCCCACAAUGAUAAGCCACCCGUUGGCAUAUGUCGCACCUACCACCCGACAGGGGGAGAGGGCCCCCUUCUUCUUCUUCUUCCUUGACCUUCUCCCUAGAUGGGAGAAGGGUUUCCCCUCUGGUCCAUGGCCUCCAUGGCGGCGGAGGGGCGAGAGCCCCUCCGAGAUUGGAUCUGUCUCUCUGUCUCUCUCUGUUUCUGCGUUCCCUGAUUCUGGCCUUUCCCCGUUUCUUAUAUUCCCCGAUUGGAUUGAAAUUUGGACACGAUUUUUUAUCCGGAUAUUGGUUUUCUUGCGGCGAAAGAAGGGCACCAACCGCCUUACGGGGUGUCCACGAGGGUCAGGGGCGCGCCCCCUGCCUUGUGGCCCCCUCGGACAUCAUCUCGCGGUGAUUCUUCUUCCCAAAAAUCACAUAUAUUCCAAAAAAAAUCUCGGUCAGUUUUUACCCCGUUUGGACUCCGUUUGAUAUGGAUUUUCCGUGAAACAAAAAACAUGCAACAAACAGGAACUGGCACUGAAUCAAUAUGUUAGUCCCAAAAAUAGUAUAAAAAGUUGCCAAAAGUAUGUAAAAGUUGUAGAAUAUUGGCAUGGAACAAUCAAAAAUUAUAGAUACGACGGAGACGUAUCAACGUUCGACUACAUCAACCACGUUACUUAACGCUUCCGCUUUCGGUCUACGAGGGUACGUGGACACACUCUCCCGCUUGUUGCUAUGCAUCUCAUCGAUAGAUCUUGCGUGAUCAUAGGUAAUUUUUUUGAAAUACUGCAUUCCCAACAGUGGCAUCCGAGCCAGGUCUAUGCGUAGAUGUUAUAUGCACGAAUAGAACACAAAGAGUUGUGGAAGAUAAUAGUCAUACUGCUUACCAGCAUGUCAUACUUUGAUUCGGCGGUAUUGUUGGAUGAAGCAGCUCAGACCGACAUUACGCGUACGCUUACGCGAGACUGGUUCUACCGACGUGCUUCGCACAUAGGUGGCUAGUGGGUGUCUGUUUCCCCAACUUUAGUUGAAUCGAGUGUGACUACGCCCGGUCCUUGUUGAAGGUUAAAACAGCAAACUUGACGAAAAAUCGUUGUGGUUUUGAUGCGUAAGAACGGUUCUUGCUAAGCCCGUAGCAGCCACGUAAAAUUUGCAACAACAAAGUAGAUGACGUCUAACUUGUUUUUGCAGGGCAUGUUGUGAUGUGAUAUGGUCAAGACAUGAUUAUAUAAAUUGUUGUAUGAGAUGAUCAUGUUUUGUAACACAGUUAUCGGCAACUGGCAGGAGCCAUAUGGUUGUCGCUUUAUUGUAUGAAAUGCAAUCGCCAUGUAAUUGCCUUACUUUAUCACUAAGCGGUAGCGAUAGUCGUAGAAGCAAUAGUUGGCGAGACGACAACGAUGCUUCGAUGAAGAUCAAGGUGUUAAGCCGGUAACGAUGGUGAUCAUGACGGUGCUUUGGAGAUGGAGAUCAAAGGCACAAGAUGUUGAUGGCCAUAUCAUAUCACAUAUAUUGAUUGCAUGUGAUGUUUAUCCUUUAUGCAUCUUAUUUUGCUUAGUUCGGCGGUAGCAUUAUAAGAUGAUCUCUCACUAAAUUUCAAGGUAUAAGUGUUCUCCCUGAGUAUGCACCGCUGCGACAGUUCAUCGUGCCGAGACACCACAUGAUGAUCGGGUGUGAUAAGCUCUACGUUCACAUAUAACAGGUUCAAGCCAGUUUUGCACACGCAGAAUACGCAGGUUAAACUUGACGAGCCUAGCAUAUGCAGAUAUGGCCUCGCAACACUGAGACCGAAAGGUCGAGCGUGAAUCAUAUAGUAGAUAUGAUCAACAUAGUGAUGUUCACCAUUGAAAACUACUUCAUCUCACGUGAUGAUCGGACAUGGUUUAGUUGAUUUGGAUCACGUGAUCACUUAGAUGAUUAGAGGGAUGUCUAUCUUAGUGGGAGUUCUUAAGUAAUAUGAUUAAUUGAACUUUAAUUUAUCAUGAACUUAGUACCUGAUAGUAUUUUGCAUGUCUAUGUUGUUGUAGAUAAAUGGCCCGUGUUGUUGUUCCGUUGAAUUUUAAUGCGUUCCUAGAGAAAGCUAAGUUGAAAGAUGAUGGUAGCAAUUACACGGACUGGGUCCGUAACUUGAGGAUUAUCCUCAUUGCUGCACAGAAGAAUUACGUCCUGGAAGCACCGCUAAGUGCCAAACCCACUGCAGGAGGAACGCCAGAUGUUAUGAACGUCUGGCAGAGCAAAGCUGAUGACUACUCGAUAGUUCAGUGUGCCAUGCUUUACGGCUUAGAACCAGGACUUCAAUGGCGUUUUGAACGUCAUGGAGCAUAUGAGAUGUUCCAAGAGUUGAAGUUAAUAUUUCAAGCAAAUGCCCGGAUUGAGAGAUAUGAAGUCUCCAAUAAGUUCUAUAGCUGCAAAAUGGAGGAGAAUAGUUCUGUCAGUGAACAUAUACUCAGAAUGUCUGGGUACCACAAUCACUUGACUCAGCUGGGAGUUAAUCUUCCAGUUGAUAGUGUCAUUGAUAGAGUUCUUCAAUCACUACCACCAAGCUACAAGAGCUUCAUGAUGAACUAUAAUAUGCAAGGGAUGGAUAAGACGAUUCCCGAGCUCUUCGCAGUGCUAAAGGCUGCGGAGGUAGAAAUCAAGAAAGAGCAUCAAGUGUUGAUGGUCAACAAGACCACUAGUUUCAAGAAAAAGGGUAAAGGGAAGAAGGGGAACUUCAAGAAGAACAGCAAACAAGUUGCUGCUCAAGUGAAGAAGCCCAAGUCUGGACCUAAGCCUGAGACUGAGUGCUUAUACUGCAAAGGGACUGGUCACUGGAAGCGGAACUGCCCCAAGUAUUUGGCAGAGAAGAAGGAUGGCAAAGUGAAAGGUAUAUUUGAUAUACAUGUUAUUGAUGUGUACCUUACUAAUGCUCGCAGUAGCGCCUGGGUAUUUGAUACUGGUUCUGUUGCUAAUAUUUGCAACUCAAAACCGGGGCUAGGGAUUAAGUGAAGAUUGGCUAAGGACGAGGUGACGAUGCGCGUGGGAAAUGGUUCCAAAGUCGAUGUGAUCGCCAUCGGCACGCUACCUCUACAUCUACCUUCGGGAUUAGUUUUAGACCUGAAUAAUUUUUAUUUUGUGCCAGCGUUAAGCAUAAACAUUAUAUCUGGAUCUUGUUUGAUGCGAGACAGUUAUUCAUUUAAAUUAGAGAAUAAUGGUUGCUCUAUUUAUAUGAGUAAUAUCAUUUAUGGUCAUGCACCCUUGAUGAAUGGUCUAUUUUUACUAAAUCUUGAUAGUAGUGAUACACAUAUUCAUAGUACUGAAGCCAAAAGAUAUAAGUUUAAUAAUGAUAGUGCAACUUAUUUGUGGCACUGCCAUUUAGGUCAUAUUGGUGUAAAGCGCAUGAAGAAACUCCAUGCUGAUGGACUUUUGGAAUCACUUGGUACUUGCGAACCAUGCCUCAUGGGUGAUACGUCUCCAACGUAUCUAUAAUUUUUGAUUGUUCCAUGCUAUUAUAUUAUCCAUCUAGGAUGUUUUAUAUGCAUUUAUAUGCUAUUUUAUAUGAUUUUUGGGACUAACCUAUUAACCUAGAGCCCAGUGCCAGUUUCUGUUUUUUUCCUUGUUUUUGAGUUUUACAGAAAAGGAAUACCAAACGGAGUCCAAUUGACUGCCAAUUUUUGAUGAUUUUUUAUGGACCAAAAGAAGCCCCCGGAGUAAAAGAGUUGGGCCAGAAGAGUCCUGAGCCAUCCACGAGGGUGGGUGAGGGAGUCCUGGACUAAGGGGUCCUCGGGCGUCCGGCCUGCUAUCUAUGGGCCGGACUGGUGGGCUGUGAAGACAUGAAGGCCGAAGACUGUACCCGUGUCCGGAUUGGACUCUCCUUGGCAUGGAAGGCAAGCUUGGCGACCGGCUGUGAAGAUUCCUUCUUAUGUAACCGACUCUAUGUAACCCUAGAUUCCCCCGGUGUCUAUAUAAACCGGAGGAUGUAGUCCGGAAAGGAUAUACUCAUUACCAUGGUCAUACAGGCUAGACUUCUAGGGUUUAGCCAUUACGAUCUCGUGGUAGAUCAACUCUUGUAACACUCAUAUUCAUCAAGAUCAAUCAAGAAGGAAGUAGGGUAUUACCUCCAUAGAGGGGGCCCGAACCUGGGUAAACAUCGUGUCCCCUGUCUCCUGUAACCAUCGACCUCAGACGCACAGUUCGGGACCCCCUACCCGAGAUUCGCUGGUUUUGACACCGACAUUGGUGCUUUCAUUGAGAGUUCCGCUGUGCCGUCGACGAAAGGUUCAAUGGCCCCUUCAAUCGUCGAUAGUGACGCCAUCCAAGGAGAAACCUUCCUCCCCAGAUAGAUCUUUGUGUUCGGCGGCUUCGUACUGCGGGCCAACUCGCUUGGCCAUCUGGAGCAGAUCGAUUGCUACGCCCCUGGCCAUCAGGUCAGAUUCAGAAGCUUGAACUACGUCGAGGACGUCCGCGGAGACCUGAUCUUCGACGGAUUCGAGACCGCGACGAUCGCUCCCCCUCGCUCCAAUGAACAUGACCUAAAUCUGUCAUCGGAUCACAUCCAGGAGAUGGUUCCUGUUGCUGCAACGGCCUUAGAACCGGAGCAGAUCAUGCCAUCCGAGGCCAUAGAGUCCGCGGCGUUGGAGCCGCACACAGACUCGUCACCCUGCAAUAUUUGCGUCAACAGAACUCCGGACUCGUCUCCGGCUAUAAGUUUUGGACCAGGUAGGCCUGCGGACACCGAGCUGGAUCGGUUAUCGAUUUUCGAAUUCAGCACCGCAGACAUCUUCCAGCACUCACCUUUGGGUGACGUCCUAAACUCUUUGAAGAAUUUGUCCUUGGAGAAGGACUCACAGCCGAACUAUGUUCGGUUCGAGCUAGAGGCUGACGAUGGGGAAUUUUUCUUCCCACCCGCCACCCACUUCCUAGCCACUAUCGAUGACUUAACCGGCGUGCUUGAUUAUGGCUCCGAAGACAUCGACAGUAUGGACGACGAUGCCGACAAGGAGCAAGGCCAAGACCCGCCAUUCACUGGACGUUGGACACCCACCUCUUUGUAUGAUGUGUACAUGGUUGACACGCCUAAAAAAGCUAGCGACAAUGACAAAGAAGAUCCAGUUGCGAACAGACCUUCCGAGACACAGUCCAAGCGCCGGCACCCUAAACGCCAUUCUAAGCCUCGUCGCUCAAAAGAUGGCAACACUGGUACCGGAGAAAAUAGUACUCCGGGCAACACCGAAAACAAUGAAGACCCUGUUGGAGUAGCAUCCGAACAGGAGGAACAAGACAACGGGCAAGUUAACCCUGAUAAAUAGGCCAUGCCCAAUGAACCGGAUGACGAUAGUUAUCAUCCAGUCUCCGAGGAUGAGGAGAGCCUCGACAACAAGGAUUUCAUCGUGCCUGAGGCACCCCUCGAGCAGGAGCGCUUCAAGCGCCAGCUAAUAGCUACUGCUAGAAGGCUGAAGAAAAAGCAACAGCAGCUCCAAGCCGAUCAAGACCUACUCAUUGACAGAUGGACCGAUGUCCUGGCAUCCGAAGAAUACGGCCUCAAGCGCCUAGCCAAGAGUUACCCGAAGCGCAGAUUGCUACCUCAGUUCGAUGAGGAGGCACCAGAUCCCAUACCUCCCUCGCGCAAUGCGGAACAACCACCACGUGGUCGGGAUAGUGCGGCGGACCGACCACCCCGCGGUUGGGAUAAAACGGCAACUCAGGCCGAGCAACAGCCCGCCCCACCGCCUCGUAAAAACAGAGACAGAACAGCUCGGGACCAUACAUACGACCUUCGGCAGGACCUGGACAGUAGAGCAGGACACACCAGAUCAAUCUACGGAUCGCGAGGACGCUUCCCGACUCGGGAUGAUGGCUACCUAUUCGGACGUGACAAACCUAGUCACGCCCGGGCCGAUAAUCGCUGGCGGACUUCAUCGGAGGUGCGCCAUGACGCGGCCCGAUAUAGAGGCGCCGCACACCCCCUCUGCUUCACAGAUGAAGUACUGGAUCACGAAUUCCCCGAGGGGUUCAAGCCCGUCAAUAUCGAAUCAUACGACGGAACAACCGAUCCUGCAAUAUGGAUCGAGGAUUUUAUUCUACACAUUCAUAUUGCUCGAGGAGACGACCUCCACGCCAUCAAAUACCUCCCACUAAAACUAAAAGGGCCAGCUAGACACUGGUUAAAUAGCCUGCCCGAAAAUUCCAUCGGUAGUUGGGAGGACUUGGAAGAAGCUUUUCUUGACAACUUCCAAGGUACUUAUGUCCGGCCACCAGACGCUGAUGACUUUAGUCAUAUAGUUCAACAACCUGGAGAAUCGGCCAGAAAAUUUUGGACUAGGUUCCUAACCAAAAAGAACCAGAUCAUUGACUGUCCGGAUGCCGAAGCCCUAGCGGGCUUCAAACACAGCAUCCGCGACGAAUGGCUUGCCCGCCACCUCGGCCAAGAAAAGCCGAAAUCCAUGGCAGCCCUCAUGGCGCUUAUGACCCGCUUUUGCGCGGGAGAGGACAACUGGCUGGCUCGUAGCAAAAACACAGCCAACAAGGCAGGCCCCUCCGAGGCCAAAAACAGCACCGGCAAGCUCCGGCGCAAUAGACACAAACGCCGAAGCAAUGGCGAUAAUACCGAUGACACUACAGUUAACGCCGGAUUCAGCGGCUCCAAGUCCGGCCAGCGGAAAAAGCCCUACAAAAGGAACAAUGAGGGACAAUCCAGCUUGGACCGCAUACUCGACCGUCCGUGCCAGAUACAUGGCACGCCAGACAAACAAGCCAAUCAUACCAACAGAGAUUGUUAGGUUUUUAAACAGGCUGGCAAGUUAAAUGCCGAGAACAAGGAAAAGGGAUCACAAAGCGAGGACGAGGACGAAGAGCCCCGGCAGCCGAACACUGGGGGGCAGAAGAAAUUUCCCCCUCAAGUCAAAAUGGUGAACAUGAUAUACGCUACACACAUCCCCAAAAGGGAGCGCAAGCGAGCACUCAGGGACGUCUACGCGGUAGAGCCAGUCGCCCCAAAAUUCAAUCCGUGGUUGAUACGUCUCCAACGUAUCUAUAAUUUUUGAUUGCUCCAUGCUAUAUUAUCUUCUGUUUUGGACAUUAUUGGGCUUUAUUAUUCACCUUUAUAUUAUUUUUGGGCCUAACCUAUUAACCGGAGGCCCAGCCCAGAAUUGCUGUUUUUUUGCCUUUUCAGAGUUUCACAGAAAAAGAAUAUCAAACGGAGUCCAAACGGAAUGAAACCUUCGGGAACGUAAUUUUUGGAAUGAACAUGAUCCAGGAGACUUGGACCCUAAGUCAAGGAAGCUUCCAGGAAGCCACGAGGUAGGGGGGCGCGCCUACCCCCCCAGGCGCGCCCUCCACCCUUGUGGGCCCCACAUUGCUCCACCGACGUACUCCUUCCUCCUAUAUAUACCUACGUACCCCCAAACGAUCAGAUACGGAGCCAAAAACCUAAUUCCAUCGCCGCAACCUUCUGCACCCACGAGAUCCCAUCUUGGGGCCUGUUCUGGAGCUCCGCCGGAGGGGGCAUCGAUCACGGAGGGCUUCUACAUCAACACCAUAGCCUCUCCGAUGAAGUGUGAGUAGUUUACCUCAGACCUUCGGGUCCAUAGUUAUUAGCUAGAUGGCUUCCUCUCUCUUUUUGGAUCUCAAUACAAUGUUCUCCCCCUCUCUCGUGGAGAUCUAUUCGAUGUAAUCUUCUUUUGCGGUGUGUUUGUUGAGACCGAUGAAUUGUGGGUUUAUGAUCAAGUUUAUCUAUGAACAAUAUUUGAAUCUUCUGAAUUCUUUUAUGUAUGAUUGGUUAUCUUUGCAAGUCUCUUUGAAUUAUCAGUUUGGUUUGGCCUACUAGAUUGAUCUUUCUUGCAAUGGGAGAAGUGCUUAGCUUUGGGUUCAAUCUUGCGUGUCCUUUCCCAGUGACAGUAGGGGCAGCAAGGCACAUAUUGUAUUGUUGCCAUCGAGGAUAACAAGAUGGGGUUUUUAUUAAAUUGCAUGAAUUUAUCCCUCUACAUCAUGUCAUCUUGCUUAAGGCGUUACUCUGUUCUUAUGAACUUAAUACUCUAGAUGCAUGCUGGAUAGCGGUCGAUGUGUGGAGUAAUAGUAGUAGAUGCAGGCAGGAGUGGGUCUACUUGUCUCGGACGUGAUGCCUAUAUACAUGAUCAUACCUAGAUAUUCUCAUUACUAUGCUCAAUUCUGUCAAUUGCUCAACAGUAAUUUGUUCACCCACCGUAAAAUACUUAUGCCCUUGAGAGAAGCCACUAGUGAAACCUAUGGCCCCCAGGUCUAUCUUCAUCAUACUAAUCUUCCAACACUUAGUUAUUUCUGUUGCUUUUUACUUUGCUUUUAUUUUACUUUGCAUCUUUAUCAUAAAAAUACCAAAAAUAUUAUCCUAUCAUAUCUAUCAGAUCUCACUCUCGUAAGUGACCGUGUAGGGAUUGACAACCCCUUAUCGCGUUGCUUGCCAGGAUUUAUUUGUUUGUGUAGGUGCGAGGGACUCGCGCGUAGCCUCCUGCUGGAUUGAUACCUUGGUUCUAAAAAACUGAGGGAAAUACUUACGCUACUUUGCUGCAUCACCCUUUCCUCUUCAAGGGAAAACCAACGCAGUGCUCAAGAGGUAGAAGUGGUCGUCAUUCCCGAUCACCUUCGAUCGUCGAGAUCAUCCAACUAGUAUCCGCCAUGGCGGUUCGGCCGCACUGGUCCUCGACCCAAUCAUCGACGGAUUUCACCUAACACGAGUCCUAAUGGACGGUGGUAGCAGCCUCAACCUGCCCUAAAAGGAUACAGUGCGCAAAAUGGGCAUUAAUCCCUCACGAAUCAAGCCCACAAAGACUAACUUUAAAGGAGUCAUACCAAGCGUAGAGGCCCGUUGUACGGGCUCAAUCACGCUGGAAGUGGUCUUCGGUUCUCCGGACAACUUCCGAAGCGAAGAGUUAAUCUUCGAUAUCGUCCCCUUCCGCAGCGGCUACCACACACUGCUUGGACGAACUACGUUUGCUAGAUUCAACGCAGUGCCACACUAUGCUUAUCUCAAGCUCAAGAUGCCCGGUCCACGCGGCAUCAUAACAGUCAAUGGAAAUACCGAACGCUCCCUCUGAACACAGGAGCACACAGCCGCCCUAGCAGCAGAGGUACAAAGCGGCCUUCUCAAGCAGAACCGUAAUCCGGCUGCCGAGCCCCUGGACAUCACUAAGAGAGUCCGGACCACACUGCAACAGGACGGUUCGGCUCGUCAAGAGCUCGACUAGCAAUUCGGCCUCCGUCCCGGUCCUGAUGAGGUAGCCGCAUCCGCACCACGCGUACAUAAUUACGCACUCAAGAUCCCAUGGGCAUCAACGGUGGCACAGCUAGCUUGUAGUUCGGCUACACCGAUCCCGGACUCACUGGUAUCUCUACUAUUUUCCUUUUUUCUUUUCUUUUUCCCUCUUUUUCAGGGUAUCUUUUAUACAGGCCUCCUCCAAUGGCCUGACUACCGGUCCUGUCAAAGGACAAGUACACCAGAUUGGCGCAGAGCACAGGCAUACAGGGGAAGCCCUAGAGGACAAUCCAACGACUACUCUACCUGUCUUUCAGUACCCAAAUGCAGCUCUCCUCUGGUUCUGGCAUGAUAAAUAGCCGGUUGCUUAUCGCAUUAUUUGUAUAAAUGCGCUUUGACGCAUUAACCCAACCAUAAUGGAAGCAGUUUACGGCCCAAGUCAAGGGGCCCCAGAUACUACCUCUACUCUUUUUUUGUUUCCUGUUGCUAUUAGUUACUUAUAUCCUCGCACCCGUGCACUUUGGUACGUUUCAUAUUCGCCAGGGGCUCCCUAUCGCCCCAUAAUGCGGCAACAAAGUCCGAACACUUCUUAUAGAUAAGUUCGGCACCCCGAAUUUAGCAUUAUAUGCAUUGGCUCCGAAUCAUGUCUUUGGUCAAUAGUUGGGUUGCCCGGCUCCUGUGCUUGCUACCCUACGUUCCGCUACAUCGGCUAGGGUAGUAAAGGGAGAACUACUACGAUUGUGCCCUGGUCUAAACCGGAUGAGCACCUCAGUAGAGAAAGCCAAAAACUGACUGUCAUGAUGUGGCGAGAGCCGGUCAGCUGUUCGGAGGUCACAAAUCGUUGGAGAUUUGUUUCCGCAUUUCGCGAAGGAUCGGUACUUCCCGAUCAGACGCUGACAGCACUCUGGUUCGUAUACCAGGGGCUGCGCCUAUGUUUUAUUAUAAAACUCCUAUGGCUAAGUGAGGGCGUCUAAGCCGCAUAGUCUGAUUGCCUGGUUCGUUGCGCUAAACAACUCCUUCAAGGACCAUAUAAUUGGAUCAAGAUUGUUUAGAUUCCAUCCCGAACACCUCCGUACUAUAUACGUGAGGGCAGAAGCCGACGACUGCUCAACCCUCAGAUUCCAUAACACGGCCGCACAGGAGGAAACAAUCAAAACAUAACAAACAUUAUAUUACAAACCGGAUUUGUUUUCAUCAUACAAGACAAAGACAAAAAAUGAAUGUCUUCAUUCGAAAAUAAUGUCCUGCCCGCACUGCGCUGCUACAAGUCGAGACCCCUCCAGGACAUCCGCAAAAUAUCGCUCGGGUGUGCGGUGCUCGUUGCCCUCUGGCGGCCCCUUGGCCACCUCGACGGCGUCCAUCUUCGCCCACCACAUCUUGCAACGAGCGAAGGCCAUGCGGGCACCUUCAAUGCAGACUGAUCGCUUGACGAUGUCUAGCCACGGACAAGCCUCCAUCACCCGCUUCACGAGGCCAAAAUAACUGCUAGGUAUAGCUUCGGCUGGCCAAAGCCGGAUUAUUAAAUCCUUCAUGGCCAGUUCGGCCACCUUGUGCAGCUCGACCAACUGUUUCAGCUAAUCGGCAAAGGGCACCGGAUGUUCUGGCACAGCAUACUGCGACCAGAACAGCUUCUCCGUGGAAUUCCCUUAUCCGGCUCGGAAGAACUCCGCGGCAUAGGACACGCUGCGUGGCAGAUCCGCAAAGGCCCCUGGGCAACUCUGAACCAGGGUUAGUAAAAGGUACUUCUUCUCCGCAUACUUGCUUUGCAUGUUAAAAGCCUUACCCGCUGCGAUCUUCUUGGCCUCCUGGAUCUCCUGGAGAGCGCCCCGGGCUUCAUUCUGUGAGGCCUCCAUGCUCUGGCGAGCUUUGGCAAGUUCAGUCUCUCGAACCGACGCUCGUGCUCCAAAGCCUCACACUUCUUCACCGCGUCCUGGAGCUCCUGCUGGAUCUCGCCGACCCGGGCCUUGAGCUUCUUACAGGUGGCUUGCUGCUGGACAGCCUUCCCUUCGGCUUCGGUCAAGGCAUUUUUCAGGGCCUCGACCUCGGUCGCCGCCCCUAUACAUAUUAUGACACUCCUGCCAAUACUCACCACUUACUCUUCUCGAAUACACAGCAAGUCGUUACUCACCUUGCUUCUCGUGGAGCUGAAUCUUCACCUCGCCGAGCUCGUUCUUGGUCUGCUCCAACCUCUGCUUCAGUUUAGAGACUUCGGCAGCAUGUGAGGUCGCGGCCAACAGCGGCGCCUGCUUAUUCAUAAAUAUCAAAUUAGUCUCCUGCAAAGGGUUGAUCCUCUGUCCGGCCUUUCUUUCCGAAUACCGGACAGUGUCUCAGGGGCUACUGUCAGCAUGGGGUGUUCUCUUUCUACGUGACUUACCUCAAAACCUGUCAACAGAUUGUUGCAGGCCUCGUUUAGUCCGCUCUUGAGGGACUAAACCUUCUCGAUCAUCGUACCCAUAAGGACACGGUGCUCGUCCACAAUGGAGGCGCCUCUUAGUGCCUCCAUCAGGUUAUCCGGCGCCCCUGGUUGGACAGGGGCCAUCGGUGGAAUUGGCGCACCCCCCUCCUUCGAAGGAAGGCACGCGCUGGAUUCCGGGGCCGUAUCGGUCCCCGGAAUCGUAUUCAGCUAAAGGCUGAACUAAAUACGUCCCUCCUCGCCAGUCUCCAUGGGGAUCUGCUCCCCCACGUGUCCGGCAGUAGAGGUCUCGCCUUGCGGCACCUCCUGGACAGCGUCCUGGGCCCCUCCCCGGCUCGGAGCGGUCCUCCGAGACAACACUUCGGUGUCGUCCUUGGCCUCGGGGGAAUAAGCAGGCGGCGGCGACAUACUGGCCAUUUCCGCCGGAUCCAACGAACCUCCAGAUGAGGAUCCCUGGAUGCUGCCGCGGGCCGAACUACAAUGGAACAAUUAACCAUGUCAAAACAAUAAAAAGGAGAGGCCAGGUACACUUGUAUACGUGAGUCAUAAUACUUACGAUGCGGCCCGAGGCUUAGUGCGAAGGCGUCGCUCCGGACUGCUAUCAACGUCCCACGCGGUGUUGACCAUAGGGGCGCCCUUCCCCAUCUUGGGCGUUGCCGCCUCCAGAUUCGUGGAGGCCCCCCUCUUCUUCUUUCCCUCCUUAGGGGGAGGGUUCUUCUCCUCCUCCUCCUCCUCCUCUUCCUCAUCGUCGUCCUCAGGGACGGAGGAAUGGGCUUCUUCAUCUUCGGACGUUACGUCCGAAGCGCCCCUGCGACGGGGGCCACUUUUUGCUCCCUUGGCCUUCUUCUCCGGCGCCUUAUACGGCGCCGGCACCAGCAUCUUCGCCAGACACGGGAUGACCAAUUCUUCAAGCAGCGGCGCCGGACGCUGGAUCCGUUUCGCCCUCUCCAUCCAAUCCUGAAAAAGCAAUGAUAAAAACUCAGAUAUCAUCCUCGAAACAAACAAGUAGGGGAUACGCCAAAAAUAACAUACCUCGCUGGCGAGGUGUUUAAAAUCGUGCCCACGUUCUGAAUCUGUGGCCGGCGGUUUCUCGUUGCCCUUAAGGAGCAACUUCCAGGCGCCUUCAUGAGUGGUUUCGAAGAGCCUCUCCAGGGUUUGGUGCUUCCUCAGAUUAAACUCCCACAGAGGGCGACUUCUUUGCUGGCACGGGAGGAUUCGACGAACCAGCAUCACCUGGAUUACAUCGACAAGCUUGACGUUCUUGGCUAUCAUACUUUGAACACGCGUCUGCAGCGCUAUCAGCUCAUCGGGCGAACACCAAUUCGGACUCUUCUCGACCCAGGAGAUGAGUCGCAUGGGAGCACCAGAGCGGAAUUCGGCAGCCGCGGCCCAGGUGGUACCGCGGGGUUCAGUAAUGUAGAACCAUUGUUUCUGCCACUCCUUUACUGUCUCCACGAAAGUGCCUUUCGGCCAGGAGACGUUGGACAACUUACUCACCAUGGCUCCUCCGCACUCCGCAUGCUGGCCAUCCACCACUUUCGGCUUCACGUUGAAGACCUUGAGCCAUAGCCCGAAGUGGGGUUGGAUGCGGAGGAAGGCCUCACACACGACGAUAGACGCCGAGAUGUUGAGAAAGGAGUUCGGGGACAGAUCAUGGAAAUCUAUCCCGUAAUAAUACAUCAGCCCGCGGACGAAAGGGUGGAGUGGGAACCCUAGUCCACGAAAGAAAUGAGGGAUGAACACCACCCUCUCGUUGGGCUCUGACGUGGGGACGACUUGUCCCUCGGCCGGUAGACGGUGAGUGAUUUCCUUCGGAUCCGGACAUGGUUGAGUGCUAGCUCGAGUGGAAAGGAGAUGAGAACUUGGGCGCUGGAGCUCGAGGUUGGAAGGGCGGAGAUAGAGAGGGGGCGUGGGAGAGGGAGAGGGAAUCCGUAUCCCCUUAUAAAGGCAGUAAAUAUCAAACGCCUCCCCACUCGCCUUAGAAUUCGCCUAUUCCCAAGGGCUGUAUAAACGGCGCGGUUGGAUUACCCAUGCCUGCAUUGAUGAGAAUCCCACUAUAAGGGGGGACGAUCUCUGCUUUGACAAGACGUGCCAAUGGCAACCACGUCUCGGGACGUGGAACGUCGGACACUAAACGGUCCGGAAUUAUGACCGGUCGGACGUGAUGUCAUGCUACUAAAAUUUGUCAGCGGAUUGGACUCGUGCAAAAUUAUAUUCUCUCUGUGGUUGUGUAUGGUGUGUGUGACAGGUCCGGAUACUAUCAUCGCGUCCGAAGACUAUCUUGGAGUUCGGAUAGAAGGGAACCCGCCUUGCAAUGCCGAAGACAAUCUGCGCGCCGGACUCCUCGUCAUUGAAGCCAGGUUUAGGGGCUACUGAGGGAGUCCUGGACUAAGGGGUCCUCGGGCGUCCGGCCUGUUAUCUAUGGGCCGGACUGAUGGGCUGUGAAGACAUGAAGGCCGAAGACUGUACCCGUGUCCGGAUUGGACUCUCCUUGGCGUGGAAGGCAAGCUUGGCGACUGGCUGUGAAUAUUCCUUCUUAUGUAACCGACUCUAUCUAACCCUAGAUUCCCCCGGUGUCUAUAUAAACCGGAGGAUGUAGUCCGAAAAGGAUAUACUCAUUACCAUAGUCAUACAGGCUAGACUUCUAGGGUUUAGCCAUUAUGAUCUCGUGGUAGAUCAACUCUUGUAACACUCAUAUUCAUCAAGAUCAAUCAAGCAGGAAGUAGGGUAUUACCUCCAUAGAGGGGGCCCGAACCUGGGUAAACAUCGUGUCCCCUGUCUCCUGUAACCAUCGACCUUAGACGCACAGUUCGGGACUCCCUACCCGAGAUCCGCUGGUUUUGACACCGACAGUGGGGGACGCGCCCACCCCCCUGGGCAUGGGCCCCUAUCUCGUGGACGGCUCGGAGACCCCCCUGACGUGAGACCUAUGCCAAAAAUUCCUAUAAAUAUAGAAACCUCCAAAAAAUAACCUAGAUCGGGAGUUCCGCCGCCGCAAGCCUCUGUAGCCACCAAAAACCAAUCGGGACCCUGUUCCGGCACCCUGCCGGAGGGGGGAUCCCUCACCGGUGGCCAUCUUCAUCAUCCCGACGCUCUCCAUGACGAGGAGGGAGUAGUUCACCCUCGGGGCUGAGGGUAUGUACCAGUAGCUAUGUGUUUGAUCUCUCUCUCUCUCUCUCUCUCUCUCUCUCUCUCUCUCUCUCUCUCGUGUUCUUGAUUUGGCACGAUCUUGAUGCAUCACGAGCUUUGCUAUUAUAGUUGGAUCUUAUGAUGUUUCUCCCCCUCUACUCCCUUGUAAUGGAUUGAGUUUUCCCUUUGAAGUUAUCUUAUCGGAUUGAGUCUUUAAGGAUUUGAACACUUGAUGUAUGUCUUGAAUGUGCUUAUCUAUGGUGACAAUGGGAUAUUCACGUGAUCUACUUGAUGUAUGUUUUGGUGAUCAACUUGCGGGUUCAGUGACCUUGUGAACUUAUGCAUAGGGGUUGGCACAUGGUUUCGUCUUGACUCUCCGGUAGAAACUUUGGGGCACUCUUUGAAGUUCUUUAUGUUGGUUGAAUAGAUGAAUCUAAGAUUGUGUGAUGCAUAUCGUAUAAUCAUACCCACGGAUACUUGAGGUGACAUUGGAGUAUCUAGGUGACAUUAGGGUUUUGGUUGAUUUGUGUCUUAAGGUGUUAUUCUAGUACGAACUCUAUGAUAGAUCGAACGGAAAGGAUAGCUUCGUGUUAUUUUACUACGGACUCUUGAAUAGAUCGAUCAGAAAGGAUAACUUUGAGGUGGUUUCGUACCCUACAAUAAUCUCUUCGUUUGUUCUCAGCUAUUAGUGACUUUGGAGUGACUCUUUGUUGCAUGUUGAGGGAUAGUUAUAUGAUCCAAUUAUGUUAUUAUUGUUGAGAGUACUUGCACUAGUGAAAGUAUGAACCCUAGGCCUUGUUUCCUAGCAUUGCAAUACCGUUUACGCUCACUUUUAUCGCUUGCUACCUUGCUGUUUUUAUAUUUUCAGAUUACAAAUACUCAUAUCUAUCAUCCAUAUUGCACUUGUAUCACCAUCUCUUCACUGAACUAGUGCACCUAUACAAUUUACCAUUGUAUUGGGUGUGUUGGGGACACCAAGAGACUCUUUGUUAUUUGGUUGCUGGGUUGCUUGAGAGAGACCAUGUUCAUCCUACGCCUCCCACGGAUUGAUAAACCUUAGGUCAUCCACUUGAGGGAAAUUUGCUACUGUCCUACAAACCUCUGCACUUGGAGGCCCAACAACGUCUACAAGAAGAAGGUUGCGUAGUAGACAUCAAGCUCUUUUCUGGCGCCGUUGCCGGGGAGGUGAGUGCUUGAAGGUAUAUCUUUAGAUCUUGCAAUCGAAUCUUUUAGUUCCUUGUUUUAUCACUAGUUUAGUCUACAAAAUCAAACUACAAAAAAUGGAAUUAAGGUUGCCUCAUAUGCUUCAUCUUUUUAAUGUCUUUCGUGAAAAUGAUGGGAUGGAAAAUUGUGCUCAAGUACUAGAAGAAGAAUUACAUAGAAUGCUUGGCAUAAAAUAUGUGAAUGAUGAGCAUGAUUGCAAUGUUGUUAGUAUGAAUACUUUGAAUAGCCAUGAUGCUAAUGAUAUGCAAAGCCACAAGCUUGGGGAUGCUAUGUUUGAUGAGGAUGAUAUGUUUAGUCCCCCAAGAUUUGAUGAGCAAAUUUAUUAUGAUGAAAGCAUGCCUCCUAUUUAUGAUGAUUAUUGUGAUGACACGUAUGCUAUAAAGAAUAAAGAUAACAAUGAAACUUGUCAUUUUCAAUUGGAUUAUGCUUCACAUGAUAGUUAUUUCAUUGAGUUUGCUCCCACUACUAUUCAUGAGAAGAAUUUUGCUUAUGUGGAGAGUACUAAAUUUUCUAUGCUUGUAGAUCAUGAAAAGAAUGCUUUAUGUGAUGGUUAUAUUGUUGAAUUCAUUCAUGAUGCUACUGAAUAUUAUUAUGAGGGAGGAACAUAUGCUUGUAGGAAUUGCAAUAAUAUCAAGUUUCCUCUCUAUGUGCUUAAAGUUUUACAGUUAUGCUUGUUUUGCCUUCCUAUGCUAGUUGAUUAUUGUUCCCAUAAGUUGUUUGCUCACAAAAUCCCUAUGCAUAGGAAGUGGGUUAGACUUAAAUGUGCUAGACAUAUUCUUCAUGAUGCUCUCUUUAUUUUUCAAUUCUUAUCUUUUAUGUGAGCAUCAUUGAAAUCAUCAUGCCUAGCUAGGGGCGUUAAACGUUAGCGCUUGUUGGGAGGCAACCCAAUUUUAUUUUUGUUCUUUGCUUUUGCUCCUGUUUAGUAAUAAAUAAUUCAUCUAUCCUCUGGUUAGAUGUGGUUUUAUGUUUUAAUUAGUGUUUGUGCCAAGUAGAACCUUUGGGAAGACUUGGGUGAAGUCUUUGUGAUCUUGCUGUAAAAAACAGAAACUUUUGCGCUCACGAGAUUAGCUGCCAUUUUUUACUGAAGAGUGCUUUUAGGUCGAUUAUUUUUGCAGAUGAUUAAUAGAAAAAAUUCCUCAGGUCCACCAAUUUUCUUCAGAAUUUUUGGAUUUACAGAAGUAUUCGAAUGAUACAGAUUACUACAGACUGUUCUGUUUUUGACAGAUUCUGUUUUCAUGUGUUGUUUGCUUAUUUUGAUGAAUCUAUGAGUAGUAUCGGAGGGUAUGAACCAUAGAGAAUCUGUAAUACAGUAGAUAUUACACCAAUAUGAAUUUAAAAUGAGUUCACAACAGUACCUAAGUGGUGAUUUAUUUUCUUAUUCUAACGGAGCUUACGAGUUUUCUGUUGAGUUUUGUGUUGUGAAGUUUUCAAGUUUUGGGUAAAGAUUCGAUGGACUAUGGAAUAAGGAGUGGAAAGAGCCUAAGCUUGGGGAUUACCAAGGCACCCCAAGGUAAUAUUCAAGGACAACCAAGAGCCUAAGCUUGGGGAUGCCCCGGAUGGCAUCCCCUCUUUCGUCUUCGUUCAUCGGUAACUUUACUUGGAGCUAUAUUUUUAUUCACCACAUGAUAUGUGUUUUGCUUGGAGCAUCAUUUUAUUUUCUUUUGUUUUGAUUGCUGUUUGAAUAAAAUACCAAGAUCUGAAAUUUUUAAAUGUUAGAGAAUCUUCACAUAGUUGCAUAAUUAUUCGACUACUCAUUGAUCUUCACUUAUAUCUUUCGGAGUAGUUUGUCAUUUUCUCUAAUGCUUCACUUAGAUCCUUUUAGAGCACGGCGGUAGUUUUAUUUUGAAGAAAUUGUUGAUCUCUCAUGCUUCACUUAUAUUAUUUUGAGAGUCUUUUAGAACAGCAUGGUAAUUUUCUUUGGUUAUAAAAUUAGUCCUAAUAUGAUGGGCAUUCAAGAUGGGUAUAAUAAAAACUUUCAUAUAGAGUGCAUCGAAUAUUAUGCGAAGUUUGAUACUUGAUGAUUGUUUUGAGAUAUGAAGAUGGUGAUAUUAGAGUCGUGCUAGUUCAGUAAUUGUGAAUUUGAGAAAUACUCGUGUUGAGGUUUGCAAGUCCCGUAGCAUGCACGUAUGGUAACAGUUGUGUAACAAAUUUGAAACAUGAGGUGUUUCUUUGAUUGUCUUCCUUAUGAGUGGCGGUCGGGGACAAGCGAUGGUCUUUUCCUACCAAUCUAUCCCCCUAGGAGCAUGCGUGUAAUGCUUGGUUUUUGAUGACUUGUAGAUUUUUGCAAUAAGUAUGUGCGUUCUUUAUGACUAAUGUUGAGUCCAUGGAUUAUACGCACUCUCACUCUUCCAUCAUUGCUAGCCUCUUCGGUACCGUGCAUUGCCCUUUCUCACCUCGAGAGUUGGUGCAAACUUCGCCGGUGCAUCCAAACCCGUGAUAUGAUACACUCUAUCACACAUAACCCUCCUUAUAUCUUCCUCAAAACAGCCACCAUACCUACCUAUUAUGACAUUUCCAUAGCCAUUCCGAGAUAUAUUGCCAUGCAACUUUCCACCAUUUCAUUUAUUAUGAUACGCUUCAUCAUUGUCAUAUUACCUUGCAUGAUCAUGUAGUUGACAUCGUAUUUGUGGCAAGGCCACCAUGCAUAAUUUUUCAUACAUGUCACUCUUGUUUCAUUGCCCAUCCCGGUACACCGCCGGAGCCACUCAUAUAGAUUCAUAUUUUGUUCUAGUAUCGAGUUGUAAUCAUUGAGUUGUAAAUAAAUAGAAGUGUGAUGAUCAUCAUUAAUAGAGCAAUGUCCCAUAAAAAAAGAAAUGUCAAAAAAGGGAAAGGCCAAAAAAAAAAAGAAAAAAAAGAAAAAAACAAAGGCCAAAUAAAAAAAGGAAGGCCCCCCAAAAAAAGAAGGGACAAUGCUACUAUCCUUUUUCCACACUUGUGCUUCAAAGUAGCACCAUGAUCUUUAUGAUAGAGAGUCUCUCAUUUUGUCACUUUCAUAUACUAGUGGGAAUUUUUUCAUUAUAGAACUUGGCUUGUAUAUUCCAACAAUGGGCUUCCUCAAAUGCCCUAGGUCUUCGUGAGCAAGCAAGUUGGAUGCACACCCACUUAGUUUCUUUUGUUGAGCUUUCAUACAUUUAUAGCUCUAGUGCAUCCGUUGCAUGUCAAUCACUACUCCUUGCAUUGACAUCAAUUGAUGGGCAUCUCCCUAGCCCGUUGAUUAGCCGCAUCAAUGUGAGACUUUCUCCUUUUUUGUCUUCUCCACACAGCCCCAUCAUCAUAUUCUAUUCCACCCAUAGUGCUAUAUCCAUGGCUCACGCUCAUGUAUUGCGUGAAAGUUGAAAAAAGUUUGAGAAUACUAAAGUAUGAAACAAUUGCGUAGCUUCUCAUCGGGGUUGUGCAUGAUGAGAGCAUUUUGUGUGAUGAAAAUGAAGCAUGGCCAAACUAUAUGACUUUGUAGGGAUGAGCUUUCUUUGGCUAUGUUAUUUUGAGAACACAUAAUUACUUACUUAGUAUGCUUGAAGUAUUAUUAUUUUUAUGUCAAUACUAAACUUUUGUCUUGGAUCUUUCAGAUCUGAACAUUCAUGCCACAAUAAAGAAAAUUACAUUGAAAAUUAUGUUAGGUAGCAUUCCACAUCAAAAAUUUUGUUUUUAUCGAUUUCCUACUCGAGGACGAGCAUGAAUUAAGCUUGGGGAUGCUGAUAUGUCUCCAACGUAUCUAUAAUUUUUGAUUGUUCCAUGCUAUUAUAUUAUCCAUCUAGGAUGUUUUAUAUGCAUUUAUAUGCUAUUUUAUGAUUUUUGGGACUAAUCUAUUAGCCUAGAGCCUAGUGCCAGUUUUUGUUUUUUCUUGUUUUUGAGUUUUACAGAAAAUGAAUACCAAACGGAGUCCAAUUGACGUGCCAAUUUUUGACGAUUUUUUAUGGACCAAAAGAAGCCCCAGGAGUAAAAGAGUUGGGCCAGAAGAGUCCUGAGCCAUCCACGAGGGCGGGGGACGCGCCCAGCCCCUGGGCAUGGGCCCCUAUCUCGUGGACAGCUCGGAGACCCCCCUGACGUGAGACCUACGCCAAAAAUUCCUAAAUUUACAGAAACCUCCAGAAAAUAACCUAGAUCGGGAGUUCCGCCGCCACAAGCCUCUGUAGACACCAAAAACCAAUCGUGACCCUGUUUCGGCACCCUGCCGGAGGGGGGAUCCCUCACUGGUGGCCAUCUUCAUCAUCCCGGUGCUCUCCAUGACGAGGAGGGAGUAGUUCACCCUCGGGGCUGAGGGUAUGUACCAGUAGCUAUGUGUUUGAUCUCUCUCUCUCUCUCUCUCUCGUGUUCUUGAUUUGGAACGACCUUGAUGUAUCAUGAGCUUUGCUAUUAUAGUUGGAUCUUAUGAUGUUUCUCCCCCUCUACUCUCUUGUAAUGGAUUGAGUUUUCCCUUUGAAGUUAUCUUAUCGGAUUGUGUCUUUAAGGAUUUGAGAACACUUGAUGUAUGUCUUGCAUGUGCUUAUCUGUGGGUGACAAUGGGAUAUUCACGUGAUCUACUUGAUGUAUGUUUUGGUGAUCAAUUUGCGGGUUCAGUGACCUUGUGACCUUACGCAUAGGGGUUGGCACACGUUUUCGUCUUGACUCUCCGGUAGGAACUUUGCGGCACUCUUUGAAGUUCUUUAUGUUGGUUGAAUAGAUGAAUCUGAGACUGUGUGAUGCAUAUCGUAUAAUCAUACCCACAGAUACUUGUGGUGACAUUGCAGUAUCUAGGUGACAUUAGGGUUUUGGUUGAUUUGUGUCUUAAGGUGUUAUUCUAGUACGAACUCUAUGAUAGAUCGAACGGAAAGGAUAGCAUCGUGUUAUUUUACUACGGACUCUUGAAUAGAUCGAUCAGAAAGGAUAACUUUGAGGUGGUUUCGUACCCUACAAUAAUCUCUUCGUUUGUUCUCAGCUAUUAGUGACUUUGGAGUGACUCUUUGUUGCAUGUUGAGGGAUAGUUAUAUGAUCCAAUUAUGUUAUUAUUGUUGAGAGAACUUGCACUAGUGAAAGUAUGAACCCUAGGCCUUGUUUCCUAGCAUUGCAAUACCGUUUACGCUCACUUUUAUCGCUUGCUACCUUGCUGUUUUUAUAUUUUCAGAUUACAAAUACUCAUAUCUAUCAUCCAUAUUGCACUUGUAUCACCAUCUCUUCGCCGAACUAGUGCACCUAUACAAUUUACCAUUGUAUUGGGUGUGUUGGGGACACAAGAGACUCUUUGUUAUUUGGUUGCUGGGUUGCUUGAGAGAGACCAUCUUCAUCCUAUGCCUCCCACAGAUUGAUAAACUUUAGGUCAUCCACUUGAGGGAAAUUUGCUAUUGUCCUACAAACCUCUGCACUUGGAGGCCCAACAACGUCUACAAGAAGAAGGUUGCGUAGUAGACAUCAAUGGGAAAAAUGACUAAAACUCCGUUCUCUGGAACAAUGGAGCGAGCAACAGAUUUAUUGGAAAUAAUACAUACUGAUGUAUGCGGUCCGAUGAAUAUUGAGGCUCGCGGCGGGUAUCGUUAUUUUCUGACCUUCAUAGAUGAUUUAAGCAGAUAUGGGUAUAUCUACUUGACGAAGCAUAAGUCUGAAAUAUUUGAAAAGUUCAAAGAAUUUCAGAGUGAAGUGGAAAAUCAUCGUAACAAGAAAAUAAAAUUUCUGCGAUCUGAUCGUGGAGGAGAAUAUUUGAGUUACGAGUUUGGUCUUCAUUUGAAAUAAUUCAGAAUUGUUUCGCAACUCACGCCACCCGGAACACCACAGCGUAAUGGUGUGUCCGAACGUCGUAACCGCACUUUAUUAGAUAUGGUGCGAUCUAUGAUGUCUCUUACUAAUUUACCGCUAUCGUUUUGGGGUUAUGCUUUAGAGACGGCUGCAUUCACAUUAAAUAGGGCACCAUCUAAAUCCGUUGAGAUGACACCUUAUGAACUGUGGUUUGGCAAGAAACCCAAGUUGUCGUUUCUUAAAGUUUGGGGCUGCGAUACUUAUGUGAAAAUGCUUCAACCUGAUAAGCUUGAACCCAAAUCGGAGAAAUGUGUCUUCAUAGGAUACCCAAAAGAUACUGUUGGGUACACCUUCUAUCACAGAUCCGAAGGCAAGAUAUUCGUUGCUAAGAAUGGAUCCUUUCCAGAGAAGGAGUUUCUCUCGAAAGAAGUGAGUAGGAGGAAAGUAGAACUUGAUGAGGUAACUGUACCUUCUCCCUUAUUGGAAAGUAGUUCAUCACAGAAAUCAGUGCAUGUGAAUCCUACACCAAUUAGUGAGGCAGCUAAUGAUGAUGAUCAUAUAACUUCAGAUCAAGUUACUACCGAACCUCAUAGGUGCUUGAAUGCCAAGGAGGGAGAGGGUAGCGGUUCCCGAGACGUUGAACGGUUAAUGAUGCAUCCUCAAAUUACAUGCAGAGGGAAUUAAUUGGAGAAGGAGAAUAGAGCCAGCACGAUGUGAAUGCAACAGAGUUUGGAUUCUCAUAUAAAGGCGCCCCCACUCCAAUCCAUCUACUCCUUAGUCUCUGCGCAACACUACUCACUCCAAUCCAAGACCAAGGGACCAGAAGCCAGAAGCACCUAUGGAGGCGAUGGACGCGAGCGGCAGUCGGCUGUGCCAAAUCAUCCAAGGCGCCGGCCUGCGGCCCCGCACUGCGCAGCGUUUCUAGAUAUAACAAGAUAGCGGUAGCGACAUUUUCUCUCUGCUCACCGCUGGUCACAGAUCCUGCCGGAUCCCUUCGGCUGGUGUGUGUAGAGGACUAGGUGCAUCGUUCACGCGGUUAUCGCCGGCUAGGGAGGAAUCCCACAGCUGCCGGAGGGCCCCGAUCCUCUGCCCGUGCCGUUCUCUCCGACACAGCGCCGACUCGGGAGGUCCUCUGACCCUUCUUCCUCCUUGCCGUAUUGUCCGCAGAUCCGACCUGCCGCCGCCGACAUCCCGACGACCCUCAGGUAUAAGUUCUUCGAAAGCGGCCUUGCUCUACUGCCCCAGCUCCCCACGUGUCUGCAUGUGCAUCUUUUUCUACUCCCAUCAGCUCUUCGAAAGCCACCUAAAUUUUUAGUAUUAUUAGAGGUAAAGCUACUUCAUGCAUUCGAAUCUAGGACUUUGUUCAAACAACGAAGAAAGGGGGGAAAGUUGUAGCAUGAAUCUAGGACUUGAUUCAAAGAGGAAAUAAUAUGGUGAAAGUAGUAGAGACCGGAUACCCAACUGGUCUCUUGGUUGAAAAGGGAAAUAAUGGGAAAAUGCAGUACAAACUGGAUAAGGAACAGAUCUAUUAUUGGUUGAAAAAAGGAUAGAAAGUGGCGGCUGGUGGACAAGUCAACAGAGUAUGUCCAGGAUUAGAUUUGUUGCCCUCACAUAGUAAAAGGUCUCCAGGAUUAGAAUUGCUGCCCUCACAUAGUAAAAGGUCUCAGGAUUAGAUUUGCUGCCCUCACAUAGUAAAAGGUCUCCAGGAUUAGAUUUGCUGCCCUCACAUAGUAAAAGGUCUNNNNNNNNNNNNNNNNNNNNNNNNNNNNNNNNNNNNNNNNNNNNNNNNNNNNNNNNNNNNNNNNNNNNNNNNNNNNNNNNNNNNNNNNNNNNNNNNNNNNNNNNNNNNNNNNNNNNNNNNNNNNNNNNNNNNNNNNNNNNNNNNNNNNNNNNNNNNNNNNNNNNNNNNNNNNNNNNNNNNNNNNNNNNNNNNNNNNNNNNNNNNNNNNNNNNNNNNNNNNNNNNNNNNNNNNNNNNNNNNNNNNCUCCAGGAUUAGAUUUGCUGCCCUCACAUAGUAAAAUGUCUCUAGGAUUAGAUUUGCUGCCCUCACAUAGUAAAAGGUCUCCAGGAUUAGGUUUGCUGCCCUCACAUAGUAAAAGGUCUCCAGGAUUAGAUUUGCUGCCCUCACAUAGCAUGAACAAACUCGACAUCACCACUUUAUGCCUCCUUGUAGGUACAUUGUGCUGAUGCGUCCACUGUCGCAUGUCCUUAUACCAACCAUUUGCUGUUGUUAAUGUAAGGGCGCAUGUAAAAUGAAGCGAUCACACUGUUACCUUAGGGACAUGUCUAACCAGUGCUAUUGUUAAUCUAAUGCCUCCAGUGAUAAGAUGCAAUUAAACUGUGUUACAAAUGGUACUCCUGCUGUUUUCCCCAGUAUGAUAAGUAAGUUGCUCCUUUACGCUGCUGAGUGUCCUGGUGUCCCCACGGUCCCAUGCCCUUAAACCAACUCUUUAGCUGCUGUUGAUUUACUGUAUUUGGUAAACAAGCAAUGCCACCAUUAAAGUAAUCCCAUAUUUGACGAAUGUCAUUGUUGUCAUAAUGCUUCUGGUAACAUGAAGCAUUGCUGAAGUCUUAAAAUUUCUACUGUCCUUGCGUGAUUGCCAUGAACAUAAUUAAGAUGCUUCUUUUCAUUUCGUGUAUGUUUCGUAUAUUCUUAUUGACCAGCAACUGUUUACUUUCUAUCUUUUUGUGCAGAUAGGGAUAUCCAUUUCACCUUGUUGCUAUUGUGACCUUUUGGUGAACUGCACAAAACACUUUUUUGGAAUGAGUGUCUUGUGCAGUUCAACUAAAAUGUCACGUGUGCAACAUCUCUCAAUUUGGUGGAACUGCACAAAAUGGUGAUUGGAGUUUCCAAAAUCUCCGUCAAGUUCUGCUGGUAAUCUCGUGCAACAUUUUAUUAGCCUUUGCAAGAUGUGUCGUCACUGUCACCACAAUGGCACUUUAUUUUAGUAAAUCUGCACAAAAGGAUAAGCAAAUUAUAGUUGCACCUUACAUGAGCCGGACAGCCAACCUUAAUGUUCCUCAAUUUUAGUGCAACUGCUAAAGAAGAACCUGCCAGCUCACGAGAGCAAGUACUUCUUGCUAGCUGAAUGAUGCAAUCUUUGCUUCAUUUCAGGUGAACUGUAGAAAAAGGCGCAUGAAUUGAAUCAUGGAACUCAAGGCAGGCCUCAUCCGAGUGGAGCUUCAGGUUGAGUUCAAGGAGUGCCACUAUUAUAGUAAUCAUGCUCUUCUUGUUUGUGCUGUCAAAUAGGAAUACUCAACUACAGAUGUUGCGACGGUCAAGAGCAUUCGCCAAGUUCUUCGGUUGUAUGACAUGGCUAGCCAAGAUGGAUUUAAUCCCGAUAUUCACUUUAUCAAAAGGCUCUAAUGGGUUGGUUCUGAAUCUUGCAAGCUGGGAAUCAAUCAGAUGUGUAGGCAUAUUCGUUGUACUUAUUAUUUGAAUCUUAUUUGUUGGUUAUGAAUCUUGCAAGCUGGGAAUCAAUGAGAUGUGUAGGCAUCUUUGUUGUACUUAUUAUUUGGAUCUUAUUUGUUGGUUCUGAAUCUUGCAAGCUGGGAAACACGUCACGAUGAUGCAGAGGACAACAACCAUAACAAACAAUUCAAACUUGGUAGUAUUAUCUGUGUGAAAGUGCGACAAAUGUGCUGAUCGUGUGCGUCCUGAGAAUAAUAAUUCUAAUUGUUGUGCAUGUUGAUCCUGUGGCAUUGAUAGAACGAGCCAAUGCAUUGCUUGUUUUAAGUAUAAAUUUCUAUUAAAGCUAAUUAAAUUUAAGUAAAGUGACCACUAACUCCUGUUAUUACAGUACCAAUACAAACCUGCUCAUGAACCGACGUGUGGCCGGAGUAGGUUUCUUAAUGGAGGCGUUUGAAUGCGCCGAGGGUGCAUCUUCUGCCGGGCGUGCAGCGGACGAGGGAGGGGUAGUAACUGUUGUCGCCUGUAUGCACUCAGUUUACUGUUGAAUCCAGUUCCCCAAGAGCUAAAAAACGAACUACUGCCGCCGCCUGCCCACUCGUUCACUUGAAGAGACUCCAAUGGCGAUCCGAGGGGUGAGCCUGCUGGAUAUGGACUUCAGCAAGGAGGUCCCCUUUGAGUUCGCCGUUCAGUCCUAUGGCUGCACCAAGUUGAAUGUGAUGUACACCAACGAUCCGGACUCGGUGAAGCUCUGCCUCGCCGAGUUCAAGUAGUACCUACAGGACGAGAAAGCACAAGGUUGCAGGACUAGACCUUGUGCCCAUCCAUUCAUCUCCUGAUAGGGACCAGCGGAUCGCCAUCGCCCAGGUAUGUGUGCGGGACGAGGUUCUCAUCUACCACUUCUGUAGGGCCAUCAGAGGUUAUGGAGCAUUCGCCCGUUUCAUCGGCAGCGCCGACUGCACCUUCGCUACGGUGGAGAGAAGGAAGAACGCGACGAUUCGGCCAUCUGGUGCAACAAGCUUGUCGACAUCCAGAAGCAAUACAAGAUCAUCAGCAAUGGGCAGGAGAAGGACUCCAUGGUUGACCUCACUGAGACCAUCAUCGACCCCUGAUAUGCCAACAUGAAAGAAGACAACGAUACCAAGGACCUGAACACGUGGGAGGUACCUCUGAAUCUAGCCUACAUAACCUACGUGGCCAAGGACGCAUACGCAUGCUACGACAUGUACAGGCAGAUCUUGGACAAGAGGGCGUGUCUACUUCCCGUAACUGACGAGUACACGGACAGUCGCAGCGUCAUGAUCAAGCGUGCCAGGAAGGUCUAGAUGUUGUACUUUAUCUGUUUAUAAGCACCUUUAUCAUCUGAGUGUUUCAUGCAUUAGCCUAUGUGUCGUAAUUAUCUGUUUUGUCCGAAAUAUUUCUUUUAAGAACCCAUUAACCUGUUUGCUUUUUUAGUGGCGAUUUGCUUAUGUAUGUAACUAGUUCACUUGUCUGUUAAAAAAACUAGUUCACUCGACUGCUGUGCUUUGAAUCUCCUUCCUCCCAACAUAUUCCCCUCCUCAGGUGGACCCAGCAGUUCUCGUACACAGACAUAUGGGACCAACCACCUAUCCAUUUGUAUUUCUUUAUUUUGUUCAAUCUUUCGUCCUCAUCCUAUACAGCGGUCGGCCAUCAUAGCCUAUGGCGUUGGCCAGGCCAUCCCUCUACUACCACACAUUGUCCGGCGGCGGCAGCUCCACCGGCCCACCCUGCACCCGAACAAGUCAACCCUCGUACUCCCCUCCGCCUGCGUCUUCCCCCGCUCCGGUUCGUUCGGCCCGAGGUCUCGACGUCGUCCUCCGCCUUGGUUCUCUAGCCGCGGUGCCGCCGUCUGUCGUUCCGAACAUGGUCAGCAAAACAAGUGGAAUCGGGAGACAACUGUUCGUCGAGAGGCCGACAGUCCCGGGCCCACCAGGUCCAUGGCCUAGGUUUUGUUGUUUAACAUGGGCAGCCCACGACAUGUUUCAACAUUUUUUGGAUCCAGCAGGUAUCAAGCGGCCUCUGGGCCUCCCAACCUAGCUUGUCUAUAACAUCAGCAUCCCAAGUUAUGUUUGUUUUUUCAAGACGACGCACAGCUCAGUUCUAUUUUUCUAUAAGAAUGCAAAACUGAACAAGCUUAUGUUGUUUCUAAUAUAUAUAUAUAUAUAUAUAUAUAUAUAUAUAUAUAUUAUAGAAACAACAUAAGUUUCCGUUAAACCUGUCGUUCGUCCAACCAUUUUAUAGACCUUCCCACUUCCUUUAUUUUUUGUUUUCAUUAAUCCUAUAUCUGAAUUUUCUCCCACUUUCUUUUUCGAUGUAAACUAAGUUUUCUUCCAGUACUUUUCCCUAGAACCAACUCAACUGUACCACGUCUAGCCUAAAAAAUAAUAAUACCCCACGUACUAUUAACUCAUCAAAUUAAAAUGAUAUCUUAUUUCAUAAGUUGAAAAUUCUUACAAAAUAAAAAUAAUAAUUGUUUAUAUAUAACUUGGCAAGUUAACUCCUAGUGAUUGCGUACAUAAGCUUGCAAAGAUUUCACUGACCAAUGCAGUAAUAGACGUGCAAUCAUGUGUUUAUGGUUUUAUAACAUUUCUCCGUCUAGCCCAACAUGAUAUUUUCACCCAGCCCAGCAAGUCCGCGGAUUUCGAGAAAAAUGCAAAUGGGCUUUAAAUUCUACCAUAUAUAUAAAUGGGCUGCAUAGAUGCUACAUCAUUGUUUCACCCAACCCACCAAAUGGACUAAAAAACAAAUGGACUGGCUGACAUGUGGGCCAGUAGGUCGAAGCCUAAGAAGGCAUUGGAUUUACAUCCAAUGACCGACAUUCUUCUUCAAUCCCUCGUCUUCUUCCCCCAGCGCUGCCAGGACCGCCUGCUCCAGCCUCCGGCGUCCGGCGGCGUUGUUUUGCGCGCCUGAGCGAAACACUACCCCGCCGACGGCCAGGCCAUCCCUCCACUCCGCACCUCCUGUUAUUCUCUGCCGAGUGUAGGCCCACCCCGCACCCGAACCAGUCAAGUUUCCCACUCCUCUCCGUCCGCGACUCCACUGUCGCGUCUUCCCCAUCUCCGGGUCGUUCUACUCUGGGGCCUCGCCGUCGUCCACCGCCUCGGUGCGCUCGGCGCGGCGUGGCCAACAUACGAGAGUCAUCGGAAGAGGACUGUACGUGGAGAGCCUGACGGCUGGGACCCACGAGGUCCAUGGUCGCACGCAAGGAAAGUUCCUCCUUAUUAAGCUAUUUCCUCCCCCUGAUAGCUGGGACCCACCGGCUAUAUCUUCGCACGGAAGGAAGUGCCUCCUUGUUAUGUGAAAAAAAAUAUUCCUCCCGUUGACAGCUGGGAGUCGUCAGAUUUGGUGGCUGACUUGUGGGCCUACUAAGCGGACGUGUACGCAGGGCUUUGUCAACUUAAUCAACCAAUGAUUCUAGCAGCUCGACCGUUGGAUGUUAAUCCAACUGCCGUGCUCCUUCAACCUCUGUUCUUGCUAGUGUCUCCCGUGGGCGGUACCGCGGCAGUGCUGCCGCGCACCCGAACCAGUCAAGUUUCCCACUCCUCUCCAUCUGCGACUCCACUACCGCGUCUUCCCCAUCUCCGGGUCGUUCCAGUCUAGGGCCUCGCCAUCGUCCAUCGGCCUUGGUGCACUCGGCACGGUGUGGUCAACAUGGUCAACAACGGAGAGUCAUCGGAAGAUGACUGUACGUGAGAGGCUGACAGUGGGGACACACCACGCCCAUGGACGCAUGCAUGCAACUGCAUCCUUUUUACCCUGAAUAAUAAUGUUUUCUUCCCCUGACUGCUGGGACCCACCAGCUACAUCUUCGCACGCAAGGAAGUGCGCCCAUAUUACGGGCAAAAAAAAUGAUUCGCCCCCUGACUGCUGGGACCCACCAGCUACAUCUUCGCAUGCAAGGAAAUGCGUCCAUAUUACGGGGAAAAAAGGUUCGCCCCUGACUGCUGGGACCCACCAGCUACAUCUUCGCACGCAAGGAAGUGCCUAACAGUCGGGACCCACCCGGUCGAAGCGUGCGUAGCUGUAACGCCCCGGAUCCGUUGCGCCACGUGUCUGCCAGUUAUUCGCUGUCAUUGCCAUGUCAUUUGCUUGCGUGUUGCAUUCUGCCAUGUCAUCAUCUGCUUUUCAUAUCAUGUCAUCUCGUGCAUCGCAUUCGCAUACGUGUUCGUCUCGAGCAUCCGAGCAUUUUCCCCGUUGUCCGUUUUGCAAUCCGGCGUUCCUAUCUCCUCCGGUGCACCCCUCUUGUUUUCUUUCAUGUGCGGGUGUCAAACUUUCUCGAAAUGGACCGAGGCUUGUCAAGUGGCCCUAGUAUACCACCCGGAGACCACCGGUCAAGUUUCGUUCCAUUUGGAGGUUGUUUGGUACUCCAACGGUUAACCGGGCAUCCGCGAAGUCCAUUUGAGUGUCCAGCAAAAACCCCCUUUCAAACAGCCCCAAAACACCUCUAAGUCUCCGCCAUGCUCUCGGUCGUUCGAUCACGAUCGCGUGGGCGAAAACCGCACCUCGUUUGGACUCUCCUAGCUCCCUCUACCUAUUUAAACACCCCCUCCCCCGAAAUUUCGGAUCAAUUCCACCCUAACCCUAGUAUUUUUUCCCCUCAGCGCCGCCGGACAUUUCGUCCUCCGCCGCCGGACAUGUCCAUCUCNNNNNNNNNNNNNNNNNNNNNNNNNNNNNNNNNNNNNNNNNNNNNNNNNNNNNNNNNNNNNNNNNNNNNNNNNNNNNNNNNNNNNNNNNNNNNNNNNNNNNNNNNNNNNNNNNNNNNNNNNNNNNNNNNNNNNNNNNNNNNNNNNNNNNNNNNNNNNNNNNNNNNNNNNNNNNNNNNNNNNNNNNNNNNNNNNNNNNNNNNNNNNNNNNNNNNNNNNNNNNNNNNNNNNNNNNNNNNNNNNNNNNNNNNNNNNNNNNNNNNNNNNNNNNNNNNNNNNNNNNNNNNNNNNNNNNNNNNNNNNNNNNNNNNNNNNNNNNNNNNNNNNNNNNNNNNNNNNNNNNNNNNNNNNNNNNNNNNNNNNNNNNNNNNNNNNNNNNNNNNNNNNNNNNNNNNNNNNNNNNNNNNNNNNNNNNNNNNNNNNNNNNNNNNNNNNNNNNNNNNNNNNNNNNNNNNNNNNNNNNNNNNNNNNNNNNNNNNNNNNNNNNNNNNNNNNNNNNNNNNNNNNNNNNNNNNNNNNNNNNNNNNNNGCGGUCCCGCGCCGUCCCGCUCCCGCCGCCCGCACCCUCGCCGGGGGCCCGUCCUCCUUCCUCCUCGCCCGACCGGCCCCGUCCUCCCCCUCCUCCCUCGGCCAUGGCGCCGCCCCGCGCCGUCCGGCGAGCUCCCCGCCGGAGCACUGCCGCCUCUGCCCCCGAGCUCGAGCAGCCCAUCCUCGAUCCAGAUCCACGGUAGCCCCCGUUGACUUUUCCUCUCUCCCUCGUUUUCACCAAGUCUUUGCAUUCUUUCACAUCAUCAUGCCAUGUUCAUAGCACCGUAACUUCUUGCAUGUAGCUCCGAUUCGCACGUGUAAUAUGUCAAAUUGUUCGUCUCGUGAUGCUCUAUAUUUUGUUCAAUUGCACCAUGUUCAUUUGAGUCCAUCUUGAUGCCCAAAUCAUCGUUGCAAGAGUGCUAGUUGCUGUUAUCUGCUGGUUCUUAACAGAACUUGGAGAUUUGUCAUUUUUGUAUCAUUUAAUCUGUGCAUCUUUUGAGCAUGAGCUCUACAUGUGUUUUGAGGUAUGCCAUGCCAUCUUUCCAAGGGUGUAUGCCAUAUAUUUUUUUGAUCUCUAUGGUGACUAGCACAAGCAUGCAAAGUAGGCCCCGUAAUAUUUCUGAUUUCAGGGACUUAAUGAUUUCUGCAAGUCCUUGUCUGCUGUAAUUUUGUUGCCAUGUAAGCUUGAUGCUACAGAUAUGUCCAUGCAUAUUUUGGAGAUGUUCAGUAAGGAUGUUUUGUAGCUAUAGUUGUAAUUGAUCCAUUCCUGCAAUUGUUUGCAAUUAUAGAGUGCCAUAGCAUGACUCAAUCUUGCUCUACUUUUGCUAUAAAAUAUUUCUGGUAGAUUCUUAACAUGAUAUGCAAUUUUGCCAAGCUUGUUAUAGUUGAUCCAUACGUGCUAUGCUUAUACUCUUGCCAUGGUUAGCUUCAUAAACAUGCCAUCUUGCUGUAGGUGUGCUUGGUUUGUCAUGCAUUGCUCUUUAGUGAGUGCAUCAAGCUCACAAAGAGGCGUACAUAUUAAUAUUUCUGCCAUGCUCUGUUUUCUGCUAAGCCUGAAACCUGAUAAUGAAACUUGCUAUGUUUACUUGCUUGCCAUCAUAUCUUAUGGUCCUUUUUGGCUAAUGGUCAGUAAGGGACUUUUGUUAUAUGCUUUGAGUAGAUUUAUGCCAUGCUUUUAUUUGCUAUGUUAUGUUUCGGUAGCAUGUUGAUUUCGUGCUCUGAACAUUGCAACCUGAUGUUAUUUCUGCCAUGUCCAGUAAUUUCACCAAGUCUGUGAACCUGUUAUUAUUUGCAAUCUUGCCAUGUCCUUUUGAGCAUGUUCCAGUGAUUUCUGGAGAUAGCUCAGUGUUCAUGUUUUGUUGUGCUUUACCUGUGCAUCAUGUCAAUGCCUUUUUUUUUCAUGUUGAGUUGCUGUAGCAUAUUGUUUUGAUGCUUGCUAGAUGCCUAGUUGCUGUUUUGUGGCAGAUUGUUGAUAUGUAUUGUUUGGAGUGUAUGUGUUGCACCGUUGCUCCGUUUUGAGCAUGCUCUAUAUGAAACUUGCUUAGUUUUGCAUGUAGUCUCAUAUUAUCUUGUUGCAUCCUUGUUUUGAGGUGUUUGCUUGAUGUUUGUAUGCAUUUUGCAUCAAUGCCAUAUUUAUCUUGUCUUGCUCAUAUCUUCUAGGCCGUAGCUCCGAAUCUAAUGAACUUUAUAUGUAACUUGACUAGAAUUUCGUGUAGGUCUUCAUGGUGCUCUUUAACUUGCUGUUUAACAACUUCAACUUAAUGCUUGUUCAGUUCUGGACCAAUUUCGAAAUUUGCAUAUGUGGUCUUACCGGAUUUGUUAUAUGUUGUUUCCGGCCUCAUUUAAACUUGCCUUGAUGUGUUGUUCUUGUAUGCAUCAUCUCUUGUCAUGAGUAGCUUCGAUUAGCCUUGUCAUGCAUCAUUCUUGGUUGAGCAUCAUGCCUUGUUCAUGUGUGGUGUGUUUACCUUGUUGUGUGCUUUUUCUCGACAGUUCCCGUGUCGUUGCGAUCGUGAGGAUUCGUUCGUCUUCGUGGCUUCAUCUUCUUCAUGGAGUCGUUCUUCUUCCUAGCGGGAUUUCAGGCAAGAUGACCGUCACCUUGGAUCUCAUUACUAUCAUUGCUAUGCUAGUUGCUUUGUUCUAUCGCUUUGCUGUGCUACCUAUUCACUUGCUACUCAAGCCUCCCAAAUUGCCAUGAACCUCUAACCUUUGUCACCCUUCCUAGCAAACCGUCGUUUGGCUAUGUUACCGCUUUGCUCAGCCCCUCUUAUAGCGUUGCUAGCUGCAGGUGAAGAUGAGGAUUGCUCCAUGUUGGAUUAUGUUUAUGUUGGGAUAUCACAAUAUCUCUUAUAUUAUUAAUGCAUCGAUAUAUUUGGUAAAGGGUGGAAGGCUCGGCCUUAGGCCUGGUGUUUUUUCCACUCGUGCCGCCCUAGUUUCCGUCAUACCGGUGUUAUGUUCCCGGAUUUUGCGUUCCUUACACGGUUGGGUGAUUUAUGGGACCCCCUUAACAGUUCGCCUUGAAUAAAACUCUUCCAGCAAGGCCCAACCUUGGUUUUACCAUUUGUCUAGCCUAUUUCUUUUCCCUAGGGAGUCGCUCUCUCGAGGGUCAUCUUAUUUUAGCCCCCCCGGGCCAAUGCUUGUCUAAGUGUUGGUCCGAACUAGAGCCCCUUGCAACGCCACCUCGGGGAAACUUGAGGUCUGGUUUUAGUUGUACGGAUUGCUCAUCCGGUGUUGCCCUGAGACCGAGAUAUGUGCAGCUCCUAUCAGGAUGUCGGCGCAUCGGGCGGCUUUGCUGGUUUUGUUUUACCAUUGUCGAAAUGUCUUGUAACCGGGAUUCCGAGACUGAUCGGGUCUUCUCGGGAGAAGGAAUAUCCUUCGUUGACCGUGAGAGCUUAUCAUGGGCUAAGUUGGGACACCCCUGCAGGGUAUUAUCUUUCGAAAGCCGUGCCCGCGGUUAUGUGGCAGAUGGGAAUUUGUUAAUAUCCGGUUUUAGAUAACUUGACACUUGACCUUAAUUAAAACGCAUCAACCGCAUGUGUAGCCGUGAUGGUCUCUUCUCGGCGGUGUCCGGGAGGUGAACACGGUCUGAGUUAUGUUUGACGUAAGUAGGAGUACAGGAUCACUUCUUGAUCAUUACUAGUUGACGACCGUUCCUUUGCUUCUCUUCUCGCUCUCAGUUGCGUAAGUUAGCCACCAUACAUGCUUAGUCGCUGCUGCAACCUCACCACCUUAUCCAUUCCUUUCCCUUUAAGCUUUGCUAGUCUUGAUACCCAUGGUAAUGGGAUUGCUGAGUCCUCGUGGCUCACAGAUUACUACACCACCAGUUGCAGGUACAGGUUUUACGAUGAUCAUGACGCGAGAGCGAUGUUUACUUGUGUGGAGUUCCUCUUCUGCUUCUUCUUCGAUCAGGGGAUAGGUUCCAGGUCGGCAGCCUGGCUAGCAGGGUGGAUGUCGUUUGAGUUUCUGUUUAUGUUUCAUCCAUAGUCGGAUGUUGUUCUUAUGUAUUGAUGUAUUGAUGUAUUCUUGCGGCAUUUGUAUGCCUUGUAUGUAUCCCCAAAUAUUAUGUAAUGUUGAUGUAAUGAUAUCCACCUUGCAAAAGCGUUUCAAUAUGCGGUUCUAUCCUUGGUGGGGCCUUCGAGUCUCUUUAGGAUAGUAUCGCAUAUUGGGCGUGACAGUAGCGUUGUCAUUCUGGUUGCGAACGUGUAUGUACAUACUGGUCGAUCGGUCUGUCUGCAGGCUGCAGCAAUGAACCGUGGCCGUGCAAGGAAGGGCACGUGUGGUAGUAGAGGCGCGCACGUAGCAUGUACACGUACGUACAACGGCCAUGUUGCAAGAAAGUAAAUACUGCCACGUACGUACAUACGGGCGGGGUCUCGAACGCCUACUCGCGCAUACGUAUGACCAGGGCUCGUGUACAUGGCUGGGUCGGAACAGAGAAACUGCGUCGUCGUGGUGUUCAUUGCGAGCCAACCGGCUUGGACGGAACAGGCGAUGGAAACGAGGCCUGGCGUACCGCAGAACAGAGGAAACGGCCUUGUGUUCGACCGGCCACGGUGGAAACGGGAUCCUGUUCAUCGGGAGGGGUCUGGCGUAUCGCAAAACGGAGGAAACGGAACUCCUACGGUCGAAACGGGGUCCUGUUGAUCGGGAGGGGUGUGGCGUACCGCAAAACGGAGGAAACGGACUUGUCUUGGAGCACUACGGUCGAAACGGGGGUCCUGUUCAUCGGGAGGGGUGUGGCGUACCGCAAAACGGGACUCCACGGGAUACUGUUCAUCUCCACCGUCGACUGCCUGCACGGGCUACUGUUCAUCCACCGUCGACCUCCUCCAGCCUCCACCUGCGACUGUUCAUCCAUGGGCUCCUAUUCAUCCAGCCUCCACCGCACGCUCCUCCACCGGCUACUGUUCAACCAGCCCUCUCCACGGGGUCCUGUUCAACCACCCCUCCACGGGCUACUGUUCAUCCAGCCCUCCACCGGUUACUGUUCAACCAGCCCUCCACCGGCUACUGUUCAACCAGCCCUCCGCGAGGUCCUGUUCAUCCAGCCCUCCACGGGGUCCUGUUCAUCCACCGGCUCGAUCGAUCGGGGUACUGUUCAUCCAGCGGCAACGGCCUCUACUACCACGGGGUCCUGUUCAUCCAACCCCCCGCCGGUAACUGUUCAUCGAAACCCCCUCAACAAUGCUCACUGUUCAUCCAGAGGCAGCAUCGACCGGCUUCAGUUAGCAGCAGUAGCGAAGGAACCGCUUGGGUUUAGUUAACAGCCAGGGAUCGAUCGCUCGGGUUCAGUAAUGUAGCUAGUGCAAUCGCUCGGGUUCAGUAAGCGAACGCCUCACCCGGUUUCAGUUAGAUCCCAAUGCCUCGCACCCACGCGCGUACGUGUACGAGAGAAACGCGCAAACCUCCAUGCAUCGCUCGGUCCCGACCAACCACCGUAAUCGGGAACUCCCCGAUAUUUUCCUCGCCCUCGCUUCUACCACGGUUUUUUCCAUCAUGGACGGCCCAAAGAAUGUCAUGCAGCUGCGUCUCCGGCCCGCCCAGGACGAAAAGCCCAUUUUCUGUCAUGAUUUUUUUGUCAUAGAAGUAGGACCCCACCGCAUCUAUGAUGAUACCGGGUUUUGUCACAAUUAUUGUCAUAGAAGUGUCAUAAGUAUGAUAGAAAAAAAUUCGUUCGGCCCAAAAUGUCACGGAUGUGUCUUUUUUUGUAGUGUAUGGUUGUUGCUUUAUUGUAUGAAAUGCAAUCGCCAUCUAAUUGCUUUACUUUAUCACUAAGCGGUAGCAAUAGUUGGCGAGACGACAAUGAUGCUACGAUGGAGAUCAAGGUGUCAAGCCGGUGACGAUGGAGAUCAUGACAGUGCUUUGGAGAUGGAGAUCAAAGGCACAAGAUGAUGAUGGCCAUAUCAUGUCACAUAUUUUGAUUGCAUGUGAUGUUUAUCCUUUAUGCAUCUUAUUUUGCUUAGUACGGCGGUAGCAUUAUAAGAUGAUCCCUCACUAAAUUUCAAGGUAUAAGUGUUCUCCCUGAGUAUGCACCGUUGCGACAGUUCAUUGUGUCGAGAUACCACGUGAUGAUCGGGUGUGAUAAGCUCUACGUUCACAUACAACGGGUGCAAGCCAGUUUUGCACGUGCAGAAUACUCGGGUUAAACUUGAAGAGCCUAGCAUAUGCAGAUAUGGUCUCGGAACACUGAAACCGAAAGGUCGAACGUGAAUCAUAUAGUAGAUAUGAUCAACAUAGAGAUGUUCACCAUUGAAAACUACUCCACCUCACGUGAUGAUCGGACAUGGUUUAGUUUAUAUGGAUCACGUGAUCAUUUAGAUGACUAGAGGUAUGUCUAUCUAAGUGGGAGUUCUUAGGUAAUAUGAUUAAUUGAACUAUAAUUUAUCAUGAAGUUAGUCCUGAUAGUAUUUGCAUAUCAAUGUUUUAGAUCAAUAGCUUGCGAUGUAGCUCCCCGUUUAUUUUUGAUAUGUUCCUAGAGAAAAACAAGUUGAAAGAUAAUAGUAGCAAUGAUGCGGACUGGGUCCGUGAUCUGAGCAUUAACCUCAUUGCUGCACAGAACAAUUAUAUACUUGGUGCACCGCUAGGUGAUGGACCUAUUGCAGGUGCAGACGCAGACGGACGUUUGGCAAGCUCGGUAUGAUGACUACUUGAUAGUUUAGUGUGCCAUGCUUUAUGGCUUAGAACCGGGACUUUGAUACGUCUCCAACGUAUCUAUAAUUUUUGAUUGUUCCAUGCUAUUAUAUUAUCUGUUUUGGAUGUUUAAUGGGCUUUAAUAUGCUCUUUUAUAUUAUUUUUGGGACUAACCUAUUAACCAGAGGCCCAGUGGCAGUUGUUGUUUUUAUCCUAUUUCAGUGUUUCACAGAAAAGGAAUAUCAAACGGAAUCCAAACGGAACGAAACCUUCACGAGGAUCUUUCUUGGAACAAACGCAAUCCAGGAGACUUGGAGUGGAAGUCAGAGACGCAACAAGGCAGCCACGAGGCAGGAGGGCGCUCCCAGGGGGUAGGCGCGGCCCCCACCCUCGUGGGCCCCUCGUAGCUCCACCGACCUACUUCUUUCACCUAUAUAUACUCUUAUACCCUAAAACAUCCAAGGGAGCCACGAAACCACUUUUCCACCGCCGCAACCUUCUGUACCCGUGAGAUCCCAUCUUGGGGCCUUUUCCGGCAAUCUGCUGGAGGGGGAUUCGAUCACGGAGGGCUUCUACAUAAAUACCAUAGCCUCUCCGAUGAUGUGUGAGUAGUUUACCACAGACCUUCGGGUCCAUACUUAUUAGCUAGAUGGCUUCUUCUCUCUCUUUGGUUCUCAAUACAAAGUUCUCCUUGAUGUUCUUGGAGAUCUAUUCGAUAUAAUACUUUUUGCGGUGUGUUUGCCGAGAUCCGAUGAAUUUUGGGUUUAUGAUCAAGAUUAUCUAUGGACAUUAUUUGAUUCUUCUCUGAAUUCUUAUAUGCAUGAUUUGAUAUCUUUGCAAGUCUCUUCGAAUUAUCGGUUUGGUUCGGCCUACUAGAUUGAUCUUUCUUGCAAUGGGAGAAGUGCUUAGCUUUGGGUUCAAUCUUGCGGUGCUCGAUCCCAGUGACAGAAAGGGAAUCGAUACGUAUUGUAUUGUUGCCAUCGAGGAUAAAAAUAUGGGGUUUAUAUCAUAUUGCUUGAGUUUAUCCCUCUACAUCAUGUCAUCUUGCUUAAUGCGUUACUCUGUUCUUAUGAACUUAAUACUCUAGAUGCAUGCUGGAUAGCGGUCGAUGUGUGGAGCAAUAGUAGUAGAUGCAGAAUCAUUUCGGUCUACUUGACACGGACAUGAUGCCUAUGUUCAUGAUCAUGCCUAGAUAUUCUCAUAACUAUGCGCUUUUCUAUCAAUUGCUCGGCAGUAAUUUCUUCACCCACGGUAAUAUAUGCUAUCUUGAGAGAAGCCACUAGUGAAACCUAUGGCCCCCGGGUCUACUUUACAUCAUAUAAGUUUCCGAUCUAUAAUUCUAGUUUACUAUUUAUUUUGCAAUCUUUACUUUUCAAUCUAUACAACAAGAAUACCAAAAAUAUUUAUCUUAUUAUCUUUUAUCAGAUCUCACUUUUGCAAGUGGCCGUGAAGGGAUUGACAACCCCUUUAUCGCGUUGGUUGCAAGGUUCUUGAUUGUUUGUGCAGGUACUAGGCGAUUUGCGUGUAGUCUCCUACUGGAUUGAUACCUUGGUUCUCAAAAACUGAGGGAAAUACUUAGUCUAACUUUGCUGCAUCACCCUUUCCUCUUCAAGGGAAAACCAACGCAUGCUCAAGAGGUAGCAAGAAGGAUGUCUGGCGCUGUUGCCGGGGAGAUCUACGCUCAAGUCAAGACAUACCAAGUACCCAUCACAAACUCUUCUCCCUCGCAUUACAUUAUUUGCCUUUUGCCUCUCGUUUUCCUCUCCCCCACUUCACCCUUGCCGUUUUAUUCGCCCUUUUUCCGUUCGCUUCUUUCCGCUUGCCUCUUAUGUGCCCAUUUGCCCUGAUGGCUCUGCCAAAAAGCGCUGAUCCUCACCUUAGAAGGUUGGAAGAAAUUGAAAAAAACGUUAGAAGCUUUAUGUAUUUGCAAUUUGAGCAUAAUAAUUUCUUCAGAAACGAGCUUAAAGAACAAAAAAGUUUUAUGGAGUACAUGAAUAAAGAGCUCGAUGAUAUGUCUAAGGAAUUUUAUGGUUUGAAAUCUCAGUUUGCUCAUCUUGAAAACUUAAUAGCCCAAAUUUCGGAUAAGCAGGCCACCUUAGUUAAUAAGAUGGCCGCCAAACCGGAAGAGCUAGAGGGUAAUAAUGAUGAAGAUCUAAAAGUAAUUGAUGUGUCUCCUAUUAAAUCUUUGUUUUCCAAUAUGAACCUUGAUAAACAUGGGACUGGAGAUGAGUCAACUUUAGUUAAAAGGCGUCCCAAUGAUUCGGAGUUUUUAGAUCUUGAUGCAAAAAUUGGUAAAAGUGGGAUUGAAGAGGUCAAAACUUUACAUAGCAAUGAACCCACUAUUUUGGAUUUCAACGAAUUUAAUUAUGAUAAUUGUUCUUUGAUAGAUUGUAUUUCCUUGUUGCAAUCCGUGUUAUAUUCUCCUCAUGCUUAUAAUCAAAAUAAAGCUUUUACUAAACAUAUCGUUGAUGCUUUAAUGCAAUCUUAUGAAGAAAAACUUGAAUUAGAAGUUUCUAUUCCUAGAAAACUUCAUGAUGAGUGGGAACCUACUAUUAAAAUUAAGAUUAAAGAUCAUGAAUGUUAUUCUUUAUGUGAUUUGGGUGCUAGUGUUUCCAUGAUUCCAAAAACUUUGUGUGAUGUGUUAGGUUUUCGUGAAUUUGAUGAUUGUUCUUUAAAUUUGCACCUUGCGGAUUCCACCAUUAAGAAACCUAUGGGAAGGAUUAAUGAUGUUCUUAUUGUCGCAAAUAGGAAUUAUGUGCCCGUAGAUUUCAUUGUUUUUGAUAUAGAUUGCAAUCCUACAUGUCCUAUUAUUCUUGGUAGACCUUUCCUUAGAACGAUUGGUGCAAUUAUUGAUAUGAAAGAAGGAAAUAUUAGAUUCCAAUUUCCAUUAAGGAAAGGCAUGGAACACUUUCCUAGAAAGAAAAUUAAAUUACCUUAUGAAUCUAUUAUGAGAGCCACAUAUGAAUUGCAUACCAAAGAUGACAAUACCUAGAUCUAUUCUUGUUUUUAUGCCUAGCUAGGGGCGUUAAACGAUAGCGCUUGUUGGGAGGCAACCCAAUUUUAUUUUUGCUCCUUGAUUUUUGUUCCUGUUUAUUAAUAAACAAUUCAUCUAGCCUCUGUUUAGAUGUGGUUUUAUGUUUUAAUUAGUGUUUGUGCCAAGUAGAACCUUUGGGAAGACUUGGGUGAAGUCUUUGCGAUCUUGCUGUAAAAAACAGAAACUUUAGCGCUGACGAGAUUAGCUACCAUUUUUUUACUGGAGAGUCCUUUUAGGUUGAUUCUUUUUGCAGAUUAUUAAUAGAUAAAUUCCUCACGUCCACCAAUUUAUUUCAGAAUUUUUGGAGUUCAAGAAGUAUACGUUUGAUACAUAUUACUACAGACUGUUAUGUUUUUUGACAGAUUCUGUUUUUGUGUGUUGUUUGCUUAUUUUGAUGAAUCUAUGGCUAGUAUCGGGGGGUAUGAACCAUAGAGAAGUUGGAAUACAGUAGGUUUAACACCAAUAUAAAUAAAUAAUGAGUUCAUUACAGUACCUUAAGGUGGUGGUUUGUUUUCUUACACUAACGGAGCUCAUGAGAUUUUCUGUUUAAGUUUUGUGUUGUGAAGUUUUCAAGUUUUUGGGUAAAGAUUUGUUGGAAUAAGGAGUGGCAAGAGCCUAAUCUUGGGGAUGCCCAAGGCACCCCAAGGUAAAAUUCAAGGACAACGAAAAGCCUAAGCUUGGGGAUGCCCCGGAAGGCAUCCCCUCUUUCGUCUUCGUCUAUCGGUAACUUUACUUGAGGCUAUAUUUUUAUUCACCACAUGGUAUGUGUUUUGCUUGGAGCGUCUUGUAUGAUUUGAGUCUUUGCUUUUUUAGUUUACCACAAUCAUCCUUGCUGUACACACCUUUUGGAGAGACACACAUGAAUCGGAAUUUAUUAGAAUACUCUAUGUGCUUCACUUAUAUCUUUUGAGCUAGAUAAUUUUGCUCUAGUGCUUCACUUAUAUCUUUUUAGAGCACGGUGGUGGUUUUAUUUAUAGAAAUUAUUGAUCUCUGAUGCUUCACUUAUAUUAUAUUGAGAGUCUUUUAGAACAGCAGGGUAAUUUGCUUUGGCUAUAAACUUAGUCCUAAUAUGAUGAGCAUCCAAGAUGGGUAUAAUAAAAACUAUCAUAUAAAGUGCAUUGAAUACUAUGAGAAGUUUGAUACUUGAUGAUUGUUUUGAGAUAUGAAGAUGGUGGUAUUGGAGUCAUGCUAGUUGAGUAGUUGUGAAUUUGAUAGAUACUUGUGUUAAAGUUUGUGAUUCCCGUAGCAUGCACGUAUGGUGAACCGUUAUGUGAUGAAGUCGGAGGAUGAUUUAUUUAUUGAUUGUCUUCCUUAUGAGUGGCGGUCGGGGACGAGAGAUGGUAUUUUCCUACCAAUCUAUCCCCCUAGGAGCAUUCACAUAGUACUUCGUUUCGAUAACUAAUAGAUUUUUGCAAUAAGUAUGUGAGUUCUUUAUGACUAAUGUUGAGUCCAUGGAUUAUACGCACUCUCACCCUUCCACCAUUGCUAGCCUCUCUAAUACCGCGCACCUUUCGCCGGUAUCAUGCACCCACCAUAUACCUUCCUCAAAACAGCCACCAUACCUGCCUAUCAUGGCAUUUCCAUAGCCAUUCUGAGAUAUAUUGCCAUGCAACUUUCCACCGUUCCGUUUAUUAUGACACGCUCCAUCAUUGUCAUAUUGCUUUGCAUGAUCAUGUAGUUGACAUCGUAUUUGUGGCAAGGCCACCAUUUAUCAUUCAUACAUGUCACUCUUGAUUCAUUGCUUAUCCCGGUACACCGUCGGAGGCAUUCACAUAGAGUCAUAUUUGUUCUAAGUAUUGAGUUGUAAUUCUUGAGUCGUAAGUAAAUAAAAGUGUGAUGAUAUUCAUUAUUAUAGCAUUGUUCCAUGUGAGGAAAGGAUGAUGUAGACUAUGAUUCCCCCAUAAGUCGGGAUGAGACUCCGGACAAAAAAAAAA